UUUUUUACCUGCUACUAAUUUCUUUUUGUUGGGCAUGUCUACACGUGCUCAACGCAUCCGUUCUACUUCGCCGGAAGUCCGGUUGCACCGUCCUCCCACCUGGCCCUCGCCAGUUGCCGAUAAUUGGAAACAUAUUAGCCCUCGGUGACAAGCCCCACCGAACACUUGCUAAACUCUCACAAACUUAUGGACCUUUAAUGACCCUCAAGCUUGGUAGGAUAACCACAAUAGUCAUCUCCUCUCCGAAUAUCGCCAAAGAAGCAUUACAGAAACAUGACCAAGCCUUGUCUAGCAGAACAGUCCCAGAUGCUCUUCAUGUACAAUACUAUAACUACCACAAAAAUUCAAUGGUAUGGUUGCCUGCGUCGACUCAUUGGAAAUUUCUCAGAAAACUCACUGCCACACAAAUGUUCACUUCGCAAAGGCUUGAUGCCAGCCGAGCCCUCCGUGGAAAAAAGGUUCAAGAAUUGCUAGAAUAUGUUCAUGAAAAGUGCAACAACGGACAUGCUGUCGACGUUGGUAGAUCUGUUUUCACAACUGUCCUUAAUUUAAUUUCAAACACCUUCUUCUCUCUUGAUGUAACCAAUUACAAUUCUGAUUUGUCUCAAGAGUUCAGCAAUCUUGUGGUGGGUGUCUUGGAACAAAUUGGCAAGCCAAAUAUUGCCGACUAUUUCCCAAUACUUCGAUUAGUAGAUCCACAAGGUAUAAGACGAAAGACGAAUAAUUAUUUGAAAAGAUUAACUCAAAUUUUUGAUAGUAUCAUCAACGAGAGGACACGACUACGUUCUUCUUCGGUUGCAUCCAAGGCAAGCCAUGAUGUACUUGAUGCCCUGCUGAUUCUAGCCAAAGAAAACAAUACUGAAUUGAGCUCCACUGACAUACAGGUUUUGCUUAUUGUAAGUAUUGAGAUUAGAUUAUCUAAUUCAUAAUUAUGACCAAGUUUUUCUGCACACUAACCUUCAGUUCAGAGAUUAAUUGUCUUACGUGUUUACAUCAGGAUUUUUUCAUUGCGGGCACUGACACUACCUCAAGCACAGUAGAGUGGGCAAUGACAGAGUUAUUACUGAACCCUGAUAAAAUGGUCAAAGCCAAAAAUGAGCUCCAACAAGUCGAAGGACCAGUUCAAGAAUCAGACAUCUCCAAGUGUCCUUACCUUCAAGCAAUAGUCAAAGAGACAUUUCGGCUGCACCCACCAGCACCACUCCUGCUGCCCCGUAAAGCCGUAUCCGAAGUAGAGAUGCAAGGCUUCACAGUGCCCAAAAAUGCACAAAUACUAAUCAAUAUUUGGGCAAUAGGAAGAGAUCCAGCCAUAUGGCCAGAUCCUAAUUCGUUCAAGCCUGAAAGGUUCCUAGAAUGCCAAGCUGACGUGAAAGGAAGAGAUUUUGAGCUAAUUCCAUUUGGAGCAGGAAGAAGGAUUUGCCCUGGAUUGCCUUUGGGCCACAAGAUGGUGCAUUUGACGUUGGCAUCUCUCAUCCACUCUUUUGAUUGGAAGAUUGCAGGUGACUUGACACCAGAGGAUAUAGACACGAGUGAAACGUUUGGGCUUACAUUACAUAAGAGUGAGCCUCUCCGGGCUAUACCCAUGAAAACGUGAACUUAUUUCUCUACAAUGUUACCAUGGCCUCUGGGACGAGGUAUGAGAUAUUAUUACUCUAUGUGAUCUAUUUUGAGAAAAGAGAUAGAUACAAAGAAUAAAGAGAAAUCUUAUUAUUGAUGGUGUAGUGUAUCAUGUGAAACAAGCUUGUAUGAAAAAACAUCAUUUGCAGGUUUUGUUGUCUUUUUAUGCUUGUAGCAAAAAAUGGGAGACAAUUUGACAACAUAAAAUUGAAAGCUUUCUAUCAACGAUUGUGUUAGUGUAUGUGUAUAGUAGCCAAUCAAAUAGUUACAUGUAAUAUUAAUUUUGUUUUAUCUUCGGAUUUGUAACACAGCCAAAGGGGAGAAUAGCAUGCAACAUCCAACUUUUGAAUUUCUUCUACGAUAAACUAUGUGAUUAAUUAUUUUCCCUGUUUCUAAGAACAUGAAAUUCAAACAUCACACAGUCUGGGUAAAACAUGGUCUGGGGUGGCUGGGCUGCUUAGUGGUCCAGUGAAGGAGCUGGACGAAACUGCAGAAGCAACUGUGGAAGCAACCAUGGAAGAUGCUGAUUUAUAUAUGUGCAUAUAUGUGCACGAGGGCCAGGUAGCUAGCUCAUCGUCAGCCCUGUCCUCAAACACUAUAUUGUUUUAUGUUUAGAGGAAAAUGGAAAAAUGGAAAUCAUUUUCAAAUCAAACCAGUUUUCUAGGAUAGUCUUUACACAUUUGAACACUUUUGAAUUAUCAUGAAAAACCUGUGGACACUUUUCUGAUUUCUUCUAGAUUUAAUGGCUUCCAUUUCUUUCUGAAGUAACCCUCAUGAAGUAUAUAUGAACCAUCAUGAUACAAAAGAUUUGUUUCUCAAUUAUCGUUAAUUGAGAAAAAGCUCAUUCCUGGAAUACCUAUAUUAUCACUAUGGAACCACAUUUUGAAUAUGUAUAGCUGGAGUUGAUGUCUCCAUAAUGUGAAAAGGAACAACAAAAACAUAAGAAGAAGAGUCAUUGUUUUGUUCUGCAAGCGGAGGAGGCUGCUAUUGUGGGAAGGCACCAGUGGCAGCAACCUGUGAGUGGCCAACUAGGCUACAACGUUGGUUUGGUGGAGGGAGAAGUCGGCAGCAACAUCAAAGUCCAAUUGGGAGAGGAAGAGAGGAGUUAUGAUGUCAAAAGGCUCUAUACCAAGUUGAGAAGAAGUAGGAGACUUAACCUAUUAGUUGAUCAUUUUUUUCUAUUUAUAUGUGUAGGGCAAUAUAAAAUAGUAAAGGUAGAGAUUACAAUACUAGAAUAGUGCCUAUAAUAUUUCCUAUAUAUAUAUAUUUUAUAAUACAAAGCUUCAUAUUUAGGUUUGGAUUAUUAGGAAUUUGACAUAAUAUAACAAGCAAUGAUCACUAUAGUAAGUGAAGUACAACAACUACAAGAAGGUAAAUUUCAGGAAAUGGGAUUAUGGCAUGGAAACUAGCUCAUUUUUUACCCAUAUAGUCUCAAUUCUCAAGUACCAAACCCAACUUAAACCAUGUUUUCUUUGUAUAUCCAUGGAUCAAGCUGCAAACUUGAUUUCCUUAUAGUCGAAUUUGUAGACCAUCCAUCUUCUGAUUCUUCUUCGAUUAUGAAUUCUUUACAAAAUAAACUUGUAGACCAUACAGCUUAUUAGCAGCUUGACCCCUAAUAGUAUAAACAAUUCUUUACAAAAUAAACUUGUGAAAAUCAUAUCUCUAUCAAUAACAAUAAAAGUUAAUAAUCCAUGGAACUUAUAGAAAUGAUCCAUCUUCCGAUUCUUCUUCGAUUAUGAAGUACCAAACCCAACUUCUUUUUACUUGAAAAAAGGACUGGCUUUUUUUUUUAAAGGAAAUUUGGCUUCUAGAAAAGGAAAAGCACUGGGCAGAGAAGCCUAUGCAGGUGAGGGCAAUCAAGGCUUUAGGAAAAGGGUUUGAUUUGAGGAGUGAUUUCAGAUUGAAAUUUGAAAAAAGAACGAGCAGUAAUAACGAAAGGAAGGUUGUGUUUCUGAGGGCCUUACUGUUUCCAAGUAACUAAAUUUAUCUCAGGCAUUUCAUCAAAUAGAAGCACAGGAUCACCUGAAACCCCAAUUUAAAAGAGCAGUUUGUACAUAAACAUGACAUUAAAAACCCACUUUGAAUGUAAGACCAUGAAGAAAAUCACCAGCUAGUGGUGGUGGUGGUGGUGGAGGCUCUGUUGAUGGUGGUGGUGGAAUGUCCUCAACAAAACUAACUUCCCAGCUGACUAUAGCCACCUAACUAACCAACAAUCACGUGUGAAAAUCAAAAAUCCAAAUAACUAACUGCAUUAAUUAGUUGUUGCUGCUAGUUGUAGCUUUCUGUCUUCAAUACAAGAAUUCGUGCUAAAAUCUAUAAACUGCUCAUUCAAUUCUUUCAAACCUUCCCCUGUUGCAUCCUCUUGAAACAGAUCGAACCAUUUGACUAGUCCCAUUACCACAUCUUUAUUACCCUUCUUCAUGAUUUUUCUAUCCAAAAUUGCCACUAGUUGCACCUUAAAACGACCAUACUCAUCCAUCCUUGGUAAUUCUAUAGCCACUACAGCACUACCUCCCACCUUUUUCUCAAGAAAUGAGACACGAAACACUGGAUGAAUAGAAGAAUCUGCUGGCAAUUAUAGCUUGUAGGCUAUUGGCCCAACCUUUUGUAUAAUUUUACUUUGUUGUUUUCCACCAUUGUCUACUAUUAAAUGAUGAAAUAAUGUAUUUCCUUAAGGUUGACGAAUUAAAAAGAAAGAAAUAAGAAGAGAGAAAACUACAGAAAUAAUGACAUUCUUUUAUUACUUGAUCAUCAUGUUUCUUACAAUUCUUCCUUUAUACAAUUCCAUUUCAACUAACUACCCGUUAACUAAAAAAACUAAUUGUCAUCUAACUUCCCAGAUGACAUAACUACCUAACUAACUAACAAUCACGUGUGAAAAUCAGAAAUCCAAAUAAAAAGUUCUUGGUAAAUGGUAAGUGCAUAAUCUAGUAGCAUAUAAAAAGUUCUCUAAUGACUCUCAUCAUCUCGCGCGCUACUAUUCAACUUUGAUAAUUGGCUUUUUUUGUUUCACUAUUUAUAUAUCUAUACAUAAGGUGUACAUUGAAGCUCUUUGUGGUUGGCUAUCCAAGUUUUCUUCUCCAAAAGUUAAAUCUUACUCUAGUGGCAACUUUUUAAUCCUUGAGGGUAUUUGGUUGCGUGGUUGCUUCUGCGUUUGAAGCAAUCACAACAACUCACCCGUUUGGUAAUGCUCCAACAGCAGAUUUCUACUGGUGGGGCCUAUUGUUAAUUGUGGCACGGCCACAGGUUUGCAAGAAGCAGCAAUUUGUUCCUUCUUGAGCUGGAAAACUCAUGAUCCACUGUUCCGGCCAGACCGGUCCGGUUCAACGCUAAAAAUGCAUUGAACUUAUGAAUUAAUGAAAUCUCGACCCUUAAUGUUGGAGAAUAUAUCUUAAUAGUUAAAUCUACAAUAUUUAAAUUAAAAACCAUCAAUAUUAAUAUAUAUUUUUUAAAAUUAUUUUAUAACCUCAAUUUCAAAAGCAUUCUUAACCAAACACAUUAAACUACUUUUUCUUUAACCUCAAUUUCAACUACAGUUUUAACCAAACAUCUAUUUUUUCAAACCAACCUCAACUAAAAGUACUUUUUAUAAAACAACUUUUUUCAAAUCACAACUACAACAGCUACCGCAAUACCAAACACACUCUUAUAGAAUAAAUCGACCACUAUUGCUAGUAAAUUUCAUGAUUGGUUAGUGUCGUGAUGUGCACGAUGUUGAAUGACGAGUUUUCCUCCUUGAUUGAAGGGUUUUGGGAUUAAUCAUAAAAUUAUGAUUUUGAAGGAGUUGACACCUAGUAUCAUGCAUGGUCACUAAAAAACCUAAUGGUCUACGAGAGUUUUAUGAGUAAAAACUAUUCAAGCGGAAUACUUUUCUGUAUUGAUUAAGUUCAAUAUAUAUACAAGAUACAUUGGGGUUCCCUUGUAAAUCAGAGACUGAUAAGGAAUGACAGCUAAUUGAAUAUAGAUUGAUACAAAAUAUUCUUACGUAUCUUUCCUACUUAUCUCAAGAUACAGCUUUCCUAUUUACAUCAAAACACUAUUAAUAUAAUUUCCAACACUCCCCCUCAAGUUGGAGAGUGAAUAUCAAUAACUCCCAACUUGCACAUGAGCUGUCUGAACUUCUCUUUUCCCAAAGCUUUUGUAAACACAUCUGCUAAUUGUUGUGAAGAAAUCACGUAUUGAGUAGCAAUUUCACCUCGUAAAAUUUUGUCCCGAAUAAAGUGGCAAUCCAUUUCAAUAUGCCAAGUUCUCUCAUGAAACACAGGACUUUUUGCAAUGUGUAAGGCAACUUGAUUAUCACAAUGAAGAGUAACAGGAUCUGAAACUGGCAUAUGUAAAUCUGUUAAUAAAUGUCUUAACCAAGUAAGCUCACAACAUGUACCUACCAUUGCUCUGUAUUCAGCUUCCGCACUUGAUAAGGAAACUGUCUUUUGCCUUUUGGUUCUCCAUGAAAUUAAAUAAUUUCCAAGGAAUACAAUACCCAAUGGUGGAGCGGCGAGUGACAGGACAGCCCACCCAAUCAGAGUUACAAAAUGCCCUUAAGUGUAAUGAGUUAUUUGAAUGAAGAAGCAAACCUUGACCAGGAGCUGAUUUUAAAUAACGAACAACUCGAAGAGCAGCAGCCAUGUGAGGUUGACGUGGUUCAUGCAUGAAUCGGCUGAGAAUGUGAACUAAAUAUGUGAUAUCAGGUCUAGUGAUGGUUAAGUAAAUUAAUCGACCAACUAGACGCUGGUAUAUACAAGGAUCUUUGAGCAAUUCUCCUGUAUUUGAAAGUCUGCAUUCUUCCAUAGGAAACUCAACUGGUUUGGCACCCAAGUAUCCACUGUCUUUGAUAAUUUCCAAAGCAUAUUUGCGCUGAGAAAUGUAAAUGCCUUUCUUGGAACGGGCUAUUUCAAUGCCUAAGAACAAUUUCAUAUCACCAAGGUCUUUGAUGCAGAAACGAGUAUGAAGGAACUGCUUUAAACCUUUGAUGGAUUCAAUGUUGUUCCCGGUUAUCAAAAUGUCAUCCACAUAGAUCAAUAGGAUAGUAAGAGAUGUGUCGUCUCUUUUGAUGAACAAGGAAUAGUCGGCUUUUGACUGAAAAAAACCAGUAGCAAGAACAGCUUCUGUGAACUUAGAGAACCACUGUCAAGACGCUUGCUUAAGGCCGUAUAGUGACUUAUGGAGGCGACACACAAUGUUCUCCCCCUGUCGCCGAAGACCAGGAGGAGGAGACAUAUAUAUUUCUUCUAAUAAAUCACCAUUUAAGAAAGCAUUGUUAACGUCUAGCUGAUGUAAAGGCUAGUUCAGACUGGCAGCAAUAGCAAGGAGGCAGCGGACAGUGACCAUUUUUGCAGUGGGGGAAAACGUAUCAUGAUAAUCAAUUCCAGCAGUUUGUGUGAAACCCCGAGCGACCAGGUGAGCUUUAUAGCGCUCAACAGACCCGUCAGCCUUGCGUUUGAUGCGAUACACCCAUUUACAACUGAUCGGGCGUUUGCUAGGGGGCAAAGGAACAAGGCUCCAUGUCUGAUUGUCAAUGAGAGCUUUAAGCUCAGAAUUGAUAGCUUCCUGCCACUUAGGAUCAGUCAUAGCAAGUUCAUAUGAAGGAGGUUCCUCAUCACGACUAACAUUGGCAAUAUAACAGAGAUGUGAUGGAGAAUACCGAUUAUAAGAAAUAAAAUGACAGAGAGGAUACUUCGUACCUGGUGUAGGUGCAGACGAGGCCAAGAACAAUUGGUGUGGAGGCAGAAUCACCUGCGAGCAAACAUAAUCCUUGAGGCGGACGUUGGCUUCUCGAGGGCGUUGAGAACGGCGAAAUGGCUGAUCAGGAAUAACCAGAGUAGGUUCAGGAAAGACAGGGUCAUCCGGCUGAACAGGGGUUUGCUGUGCAGCUGGUGGAGUUAAUGGAGUAUAGGAAGGUGGCUCAGGAAGAGAAGGUACUGAGUCGGUUGGUGCAGGUGAAGAGGAUAUGGGGGGCUCAAAGGGGUCGAUGAUGACUGAUGAGGGAGGAAGAUGGGAAUAAGAAUCAGACAAAAUAGGAAGAGGAAUAGACAAGGCUGGUGGAUUGUGUGCUGGAGGAUUGACUUGUGGUGGAUGAUAAAAGGUGUCUUCAAGAAAUACCACAUCCUGAUUAGUGAAAAUUUUAUGAGUAGCAAGAUCAUAAAGUUUGUAAGCCUUUUGUCCCAUAGGGUAACCAAGAAAAAUGCAUUUUGUGGCACAGGGAGAAAAUUUUGAGGAUGGAUUGACUAUGGUUGCAAAAGCAAUACAUCCAAAAACUCGCAUGCGAGAAUAAUCAAGAAGUUUGUUGUAAAGAAUCUCAAAUGGUGUUUUUUUGUGAAGCAACAGAGUAGGAAGGCAAUUACUAAUAUGGACGGCAGUAAGAAUACAUUCUCCCCAGAAAGUAAAGGGUAAAUGAGAUUGAAAACGUAGAGCGCGAGCAGUUUCAAGGAUGUGUCUAUGUUUGUGCUCAACGACACCAUUUUGCUUAGGUGUAUAUACACAAGAGUGUUGAAAAAGAACACCUUCCUCAAGAAAAUAAAAUUUUAAUGAAAGAAAUUCAGCCCCAUUAUCAGAACGGAGUUUUUGAACUUUUGUAUUGAAUUGAGUGUGAACAUAAUGAAAAAACUGACGAAGUAGAGUUUGUGUCUCACUCUUGUUACGCAUUAAAAAAACCCAUGUAAAACGAAAAAAUCAUCCACAAUGGUCAAGAAAUAAAAAGCACCAGAAAUAGAAGGGGUUUUAUAACGACCCCAAAUAUCACAAUGAAUAAGAGAAAAACACUUCGAAGUUGAAAUUGAACUAGAAGGAAAAGGUUGACGAAUUUGUUUUGCCAAUGGACGAACGUCACAUUUAUGACUGGAAUCAAAAUUAAAUUUAAGCGAAUUAUCAGCUAAAAAUUGUAAACGAUUAGAAGAAAGGUGACCCAAUCGGCGAUGCCAAAGAUUGGAUGAGAUAAUCAAAUUGCAAGCAAAACGGGUAGAAGGAGGAGUUGAAGCCAACGCCACAAGGUAAUACAGGUCAUCACGUCGCUUACCCACACUAAUCAUCGUCCUCAUAGCCAAGUCUUGCAAAAUACACCAAGAUGGAAAAAAAGUCACUGAGCAAUGUAAAUCAUCGAUUGUCUUGCCAAUAGACAUAAGAUCAACUUUAAAGCUUGGCACACAGAGGACAUUAUUCAAUUGAAAAGAAUUGUUAAAUUGAAUUGAGCCAGUCACAGUAAUUUUAGCCACAUCUCUACUAGGUAAGGAAACAGGUGCCAAAGAUUGAUUCUUGUCGACAUGCUUUAAUAAUGUGGGAGAAGAAGUAGUAUGAUGGGUUGCCCCACUGUCAAGUAUCCAGCGAUUGUGAGCAACCGGUAAUAAACCUGAUGUAUGUUUGAAGGUUGAGUCAGCAACAACAUUAGCCUGUGGAGUGACAAGCUUGGUGGUCAAGGCACUGAGUAUCUGAACAUAUUGAUCCUCAGUUAAGUUGGGCAGAGAGACCUGGAGUUCUGAAAAGUUGGAUUAAAAUCCACUUGAUUUGCAGAGGGGUUACCAGAUGCAGAGUGUGAGUUAUGCCUGUCAUAGUGAUUAGUACUUAAAAGUGCAUUUUUAUCAAGGUUUUAUAUCAUCAUUUUGCACUUGAAGUAUCAAUAACUCCUUAACUAAAGCAUGUUUUAUAAUAACAUAUCUAAUAGUAUAAGAUACCUUUAAUUUAUGGUAAAUGUUCAUCUUAAAUGCAUGCCUAUCACAUAAAUGAAAGGAUUGAUUGAUGAGUUGAAGUACUGAAAUCGAAAGGACAGAAAGAUGGCCAAACUUAGAAAAGAGAUGUUGGUGCAGUCCAAACUGGAACACUGUUUGGUAAUCGGGUCAUAUCUGGAGUUGUAGAUCUUGGAUUUAGAUCUGCCUUAUAUGGAUGGAAAGCUAAUACAUAGACCUACAACUUUCAUGAGGAGUCCAAGAUUUAAGAAGACCGUUUUCAAGUCCAAAUUGCAGCAACAACAAAGAAGUCCGAAUCUGUCCUGCAGCCCAGACACUGUUUAGUGUUCAGCCCAUAUCUCGAGUUCUAGAAGUCCAAAUGAUCUCAAAUUUUUACCCUGGAAAGAUGAGACAAUUCUCUAGAACUUUCAUGGUUUAAGUUUGUUCAAAUUAUGACGUCAGCAAUGACGUUUUUGGCAGACAAGAAGAUAAGGAUUGUCACCAAGUCAAGAUUUGGCCACCCACUCAUCAAUUAGUCAACAAAUCAAUAGUUCCGAAUUUUGGCCUAUAAAAGGAGGCAUUUGCCAUGUAUUUAGGCAUCUUGGUUUUCAGAUCAAGAUCAUGCUCUUGCUCUCUCUUUAUAUUUUGUAAUGCUUAAGUUUUGCUUAUAUUAAUUUCUUGCUUAUGCUUUUCAUUUCCUUUCCUUGUUUAUUUAUGUUUCUUUCUUUCAUUAUGUGUUGCUAAGUUAAUUAUGUCAAGGUGAAAAGGGUACACUAAUGGUGUAAGAAUAAGUAUAAUAUAAACUUAACAUGGACCUUAAUGUUGGAUACUAACAUGCUUUAUAUUUGUUAUCUUGUUCACUUUUAAUACUUUGCUUGUUAAAUGGUUAAUCUAGAUUUAUGUUGUAUAACACUUGGUACAACAAAUACUUGGCACUUUCAUAGCCCAUACUGUAUGGUAUAACCGACACCUGAGCUAUGAAAGGAACUUGAUUUGUUGUUAACAUAAGUUAUAAUCAUGAAUGCAUGACAACAUUUACAAGUAUUAGCUUUAUUCGAAUAAGAUAACUAAUGUAAUCAUGUUAACAAUUUGUAAUCCGAUUGGAACCUCCUUUGUGUGUGGUUUCCAGUUGAGUAAUAAAAAGAGUUUAUACUAUACUUGUUUGAAAUACCAUUAGUGGAUCCUCUAACCUUGACAAUUGUUUUAUCCUUGUUUAAUCCUUACAUCAAUAUCACAUCUCAAAGCUCUCUUUAACUUAUUAUUGUUGUUAUUGUUGUUGUUGUUGUUAUCUAUAAUUUAUACAAUUAACCUCCCUGUGGUUCGACCCCGGUCUUGCCGGGUUAUUUAUUACUUCGACACUCCUGCACUUGGGAGAAGACAUCAAUCUUUUGGUCGUGUCAAGUUUUUGGCGCCGUUGCCGGGGAGGUAAAUUCUUGUACAAAUUAUAGUAUUUAUUUUAUUUUCUCUUUUCACUUUUCAUUGUAUUUAACUUCGUUUAUUUUGUUUUGUUUCGUUUUCUUUUACUUUCUUCUUCUUUUUAUUCUCUUUUUUACACGUGCAUGAGAGUUUGGUCACGUACAUUAAGUGGUAGACUUUGUAGGGUAUCCUCAUCAUUUUCAAAAAAUAUGGCUGAAGAAGUUAACCAAUCACUUCAUAAUGAGAAUAAUGAGAAUAUUCGGGUUAGAACACUUAGAGACCACAUGAAUCCCACAAGAACAAGUGCACCCUCAUGCAUAGUUUUUCCACCUGAUGCAUCUCAUUUUAAUUUUAAGCCAGGCAUUAUUCAACUUUUACCUUCUUUUCAUGGUUUAGAUUUAGAAAAUCCAUACUUGCAUUUAAGGGAAUUUGAGGAGGUCUGUAACACCUAUAAUGACUCAAAUUGUAGCAUGAACACCAUUAGGUUAAAGCUUUUUCCUUUUUCAUUAAAAGAUAAAGCUAAAACAUGGCUAUAAAAUUUGAGACCAGGAUCCAUUCGUGCUUGGGAUGAAAUGCAACAACAAUUUUUAAAGAAGUUUUUUCCAUCCCACAGAACAAACUCUUUCAAAAGACAAAUCAUCACUUUCACUCAAAAACCAGGAGAAACAUUUUACCAAUGUUGGGAUAGAUAUCGAGACUUGCUUAAUACUUGCCCUCAUCAUGGUUUUGAAACAUGGAGAUUGGUUUCACAUUUUUAUGAAGGGUUAACUCCUAGAGAUAGGCAAAUGGUUGAAUUGAUGUGCAAUGGAACUUUUGAGGAUAAAGACCCUAAUGAAGCCAUGGAAUACCUAGACUUGCUAGCUGAAAAUGCGCAAAAUUGGGACACUACAGGAACUUAUGAGGCACCAAGUAAAACCCAACCUCAUACAUCUAGUGGAGGUAUGUACAACCUUAGGGAAGAUCAUGACCUCCAAGCCAAGUUUGCAUCUUUAGCUAAAAAAGUCGAGGCAUUAGAAUUAAAAAAGAGUGGUCAACUAAAAUUUGUUCAAGACAUUGUGUGUCAAAUCUGUGAAACCAAUGAACAUUCAACCAAUGAUUGUCCAACUUUGCCCUCUUUUAAGGAAUGUCUCCAUGAACAAACCCAUGCAUUAAACAGUUUCCAAAGGCCCAAUCAUAACCCAUACUCGCAAACAUACAACCCUGGUUGGAGAAAUCACCCAAAUUUCAAUUGGAAGAGUGAUAACAAUAAUGCACAAACUUCACAACCACCGUUUCAAGCACACCAUAAUUUCCAAAAUUCUCAUGGAUAUGCACCUCCUUAUGCUCCCCCUCUUAGAAGAAAUCUUGAGGAAACAUUGCAUGCAUUCAUGGAAAAGCAAGAGGCAAUUAACACUCAACUUGCUCAAAGCAUGACAGAUUUUAAAGAUACUCUUGCAAAAUUGACAUCUGCUCUCAGUUUCCAAGAGAAAGGUAAGUUUCCAUCUCAACCACAACAAAAUUCCAAGGGGCAGUACCAUGCAAAUGCAAGUAGUUCGGGAAGCCAACAUAUGGAUCACGUAAAAUCAGUCAUCACUCUUCGUAGUGGUAAGGUUAUUGAAAAACCCAUUCUUGAACCUUGUGAGAAUGAUGAUGAGUCAAUCUCUGAGGGUAAGGAAGGGGUUGAAUCUGAUCAUUACAAAGAAAAGAUUGAUUCUCCGCCAGCACUUCCAUUUCCUCAUGCCAUGACCAAACAAAGGAAAGUCAAUCACAACUUUGAAAUCUUUGAAACUUUCAAACAGGUAAGGAUCAAUAUACCUUUGUUGGAUGCUAUUAAACAGGUUCCUUCUUAUGCUAAAUUUUUGAAAGAUCUGUGCACUGUGAAGAGAAAAUUGAAUGUGAAAAAGAAAGCCUUUUUAGCCGAACAAGUAAGUGCCAUUCUUCAGAACAAUAAUGCUUUGAAAUAUAAAGACCCUAGUUGUCCUACAAUUUCAUGCUUUAUUGGAGAACAUAAAAUUGAAAGAGCCUUACUUGAUCUUGGAGCUAGUGUGAAUUUACUUCCAUAUUCAGUUUUUCAAAGUCUUAAUCUAGGUGAGUUAAAACCAACUUUUGUAACUCUUUUACUUGCCGAUAGAUCUGUAAAAGUGCCUAGAGGAAUAGUUGAGGAUGUGUUAGUACAAGUCGAUAAAUUCAUUUACCCUGUGGAUUUUAUUGUCUUGGAUACACUACCUAUUGAAGCAUGUAAUUCAUUUCCUGUUAUUUUAGGACGUCCAUUUCUUGCAACUUCUAAUGCAUUGAUUAAUUGUAGGAAUGGACUGAUGAAGCUAUCAUUUGGAAACAUGACAUUGGAGAUGAAUAUUUUCAACAUUUGCAAGUAACCUGGAGAUGAUAAUGAUUUACAAGAAGUAGAUUCUAUUGAAGAAUUAGUUUAUGAUCAACUUGAAUCUACUUUGAGUAAAAUUGAGUUGGAUGAAUUUGAAGAUUUGCAAAUGAUUUAUUCUCAGGAAGAAAUCACGGAUGAAAAAGACACUGAAAAUGUUGAUGCGGAUCAUUUGUCAAGAUUGACAAUAGAUUCGACAUCUGACAUUACACCAAUCGAUGAUUACUUUCCUGAAAAAUCCUUACUUUCUCUUAGUUCAAUGCCUUGGUUUGCUAAAAAUAUCAAUUUUCUUACAACAGGAGAUUUGCCAGCUCAGUGGAGUACCGAAGACAAAGUAAAGUUUUUGAACGAAAUGAAGAACUUUUAUCGGGAUAACCCUUACUUAUUCAAAAAUUGUCCUGAUCAAAUAUUUCAAAGAUACAUUCCCGACAAUGAGGUAAGUAGUGUCAUUAAACUUUGUCAUUCUGAGGCAAGUGGGAGUCAUUUCUCGUCAAAAAGGACGACUGCAAAAAUCUUACAAUCUGGAUUCUAUUGGCUCACCAUGUUCAAAGACACACAUGUGUUCUGCAAAGCUUGUGAAAAUUGUCUAAAGUCAGGAUUUAUUUCAAAACAUAAGGAAUCUUUAGAUAAUCUUCUAUUGACUUUUGCGACAUAUCCUCGUGACAAUGUGCAUGGUGCAUUUCAUGACUUAUGACCCAAUUUUUAUAAAGAACAUGCUCCACAUAGUCUUGGGAAUCUGACUAUAAAAGACCCUGUUUGCCAGUUUUUAAGAAAACUGGAUGGGAAGCCUAUCCCCGACCCAUAGAGGGUGUUUAAGCCGUUCUUGGACGUAAAACCAAGGGAAGAUGUGAGCCACAAUCACAACUAUGAUUUGAGUCUUAGUUUGUAAAAAUUUAUGUCUUUUGGUUUUAUUAAUAUCAUAUUAUUUUUUUUUGUUAUUUCUUAUAUUUGUUUAAGUGUGUUUCAGGUUUGUCAGUGUUCGUUGUUUCAGGUGAUGUCUUCUAUACUCUAUCUUUCUACCUUAGGACAUUGAGGACAAUGUCUCGUUUUGGUUGGGGGGAGAGGGUAGUAGUAGUUGACAUUAAAAAAAAAAAAAAAAAACUAACCAACUAACUUUUUUUGUUUUUAAAACCAUUUGACAAAACUGUUAUUACUAGGAUGGCAGAGUAAGGAGGAAUUUUAGUGACUCUUGAGACGCAUCUUAGUAAACAUUUUCCAAUGGUUAUUUGCAAUAUUCAUAAGGCCUAUUAGAAUACUUCUUGAAAUAUUCAGGUUUACAAACUCUCGCAUUAUUAUCACUUGAUUCUGCUCAUAUACUCAUUUAACAAGUAUUCUUAAACCUUCAUUUUCACACACACACUUUAACAUAUGAUUGUGGGUUGCACAUUGGAUUAUUACAUUAUUUAUGUUCUUUUGUUAAAGGUAACAACUAAGGGAAAGGGAUAGUAUAUAAUUUUCAAAAAAAAAAAAACAAAUUGAUAAUAUUGAUGAUAAUAAAAACAUAGAUAAGUUUGGUUUCGUAGCCUCCCUAACCUAAGCAAUUAAGCCCGAAUGGGUGUUUUAACACCUAAUACCCUAAAGUCAACUGACUUGGGAGCUAUUGGCCCAAAGCUUGUUACAUGGGUUAAGGAGAAAAGCUUAAGGGAAUCAAACAUUGCACUAUCUACGUAUCAGUAUCUGCAACCCGAGUUACUAAGCUCGUAGGGGUGUCUCAACACCUAAUGCCCUAAGAUCAACUGGUCUGGGAGUCAUUAGCUGAAAGCUCGUUACAUGGGUUAAAGAUGCAUUGUGUUUUAAGUUACAUAUAUAUAAAAAAAAUAAAAAAAAAUAAAAUAAUCCCAACCCAAGGAAGUUAACCUUAAACAUUAGAACAAAAUAUUGUUUUCUUCUAAUAGAAGCCCCAUCAUCUAUGUUUCAUACAUUGAGCACAUAACAAGGAAGGUUUAUUAAUAUUUUGUUUAAGAGAUAUUGAGCAGAUAUAUAAAAUUUAAUGAGAGUUUGUUUAUCUGGAUAGAUUAAUGGAAGUUGAAUGAUGAAUGCCUUGCUUUGUGAAAGUUGCAAAUUGUUUUUCUAUUUUAACGCUUUGAUUACUAGGGACUAGUAAUAAGCUGGUUGGGGGGUGUGAUUAGUACUUAAAAGUGCAUUUUUAUCAAGGUUUUAUAUCAUCAUUUUGCACUUGAAGUAUCAAUAACUCCUUAACUAAAGCAUGUUUUAUAAUAACAUAUCUAAUAAUAUAAGAUACCUUUAAUUUAUGGUAAAUGUUCAUCUUAAAUGCUGGCCUAUCACAUAAAUGAAAGGAUUGAUUGAUGAGUUGAAGUACUGAAAUCGAAAGGACAGAAAGAUGGCCAAACUUAGAAAAGAGAUGUUGGUGCAGUCCAAACUGGAACACUGUUUGGUAAUCGGGUCAUAUCUGGAGUUGUAGAUCUUGGAUUUAGAUCUGCCUUAUAUGGAUGGAAAGCUAAUACAUAGGCCUACAACUUUCAUGAGGAGUCCAAGAUUUAAGAAGACCGUUUUCAAGUCCAAAUUGCAGCAACAACAAAGAAGUCUGAAUCUGUCCUGCAGCCCAGACACUGUUUAGUGUUCAGCCCAUAUCUCGAGUUCUAGAAGUCCAAAUGAUCUCAAAUUUUACCUUGGAAAGAUGAGACAAUUCUCUAGAACUUUCAUGGUUUAAGUUUGUUCAAAUUAUGACGUCAUCAAUGACGUUUUUGGCAGACAAGAAGAUAAGGAUUGUCACCAAGUCAAGAUUUGGCCACCCACUCAUCAAUUAGUCAACAAAUCAAUAGUUCCGAAUUUUGGCCUAUAAAAGGAGGCAUUUGCCAUGUAUUUAGGCAUCUUGGUUUUCAGAUCAAGAUCAUGCUCUUGCUCUCUCUUUAUAUUUUGUAAUGCUUAAGUUUUGCUUAUAUUAAUUUCUUGCUUAUGCUUUUCAUUUCCUUUCCUUGUUUAUUUAUGUUUCUUUCUUUCAUUAUGUGUUGCUAAGUUAAUUAUGUCAAGGUGAAAAGGGUACACUAAUGGUGUAAGAAUAAGUAUAAUAUAAACUUAACAUGGACCUUAAUGUUGGAUACUAACAUGCUUUAUAUUUGUUAUCUUGUUCACUUUUAAUACUUUGCUUGUUAAAUGGUUAAUCUAGAUUUAUGUUGUAUAACACUUGGUACAACAAAUACUUGGCACUUUCAUAGCCCAUACUGUAUGGUAUAACCGACACCUGAGCUAUGAAAGGAACUUGAUUUGUUGUUAACAUAAGUUAUAAUCAUGAAUGCAUGACAACAUUUACAAGUAUUAGCUUUAUUCGAAUAAGAUAACUAAUGUAAUCAUGUUAACAAUUUGUAAUCCGAUUGGAACCUCCUUUGUGUGUGGUUUCCAGUUGAGUAAUAAAAAGAGUUUAUACUAUACUUGUUUGAAAUACCAUUAGUGGAUCCUCUAACCUUGACAAUUGUUUUAUCCUUGUUUAAUCCUUACAUCAAUAUCACAUCUCAAAGCUCUCUUUAACUUAUUAUUGUUGUUAUUGUUGUUGUUGUUGUUAUCUAUAAUUUAUACAAUUAACCUCCCUGUGGUUCGACCCCGGUCUUGCCGAGUUAUUUAUUACUUCGACACUCCUGCACUUGGGAGAAGACAUCAAUCUUUUGGUCGUGUCACAUAGCCUUGGCGUUGGUGUGGUGCCUUUUCUUUACUUUUUGGAUGACCAGGAGGGUAGCCAAUUAAUUUGUAACAGGUUGCUUUCUUGUGAUACAUAUCACCACAGUAAGUGCACUGAAAAGGCUCUUUAUUACGUGAAUUAUUUGAUUGAUUCCCAUGAACUUGAUUAUUGUGCCGACCCUUAGACAUGUUGUAAUUGCCACACACAACCAUGGCUGCUGUAUUUGAUGGUAUGGUGACAGCAGCCCCCAACUCUCGUUGUUUUUCUUCCUGCACAACAGAGGCAUAAGCUUGACGAACCGAUGGUAAAGGGUUCAUCAGUAAAAUCUGACCUCUUGCACCUGAAUAUGACUCGUUGAGUCCCAUGAGAAACUGUAUAAGUUUGGUUCGAUCAUUAUGCGCACCACAGGUACAUGUUUCUGAAUUAAAGGAUACAAGCUCGUCCCAUAAACCCUUCAAUUUUGUGUAAUAUGCUGCAACUGACAUCUGACCUUGCUCAAUCCUAUAGAUGUCACGUUGAACCUGAAAAAUACAGGGAGCGUUGCCUAAAGAAAAUCUUUCAUGAAGAUCUUCCCAGAUGGGAUGAGGAGUGUUGCAUGAAAGAACAGAAUCGGCUAACUCUGGUUCAAGAGAAUUUAGGAUCCAUGAAAGCACCAUGUCGUUGCAGCGCUGCCAAAGGGCAUGUUCUUCAGGAUUUGAAGCCUCAUGGGGUUCUUUGAUUUUUCCAGUAAUAAAACCUAUCUUAUUCUUGGCACUUAGAGAAAUUUUCAUGGCACGGUGCCAAGAAUUAUAAUUGUCACCAUUCAAUCAUUUUGAAACAAGAAGCAAACCAGAGUGAUCUGAGUGGUGGAGGAAUAAUGGAGAACCAAGGGUGCUGGGAGCAGAGGAUGAAUUGCCAGAACUCAAGAAAUCAAUAUCAUUAGCAGCCAUGAUUUUAAAAGAAAAAAAAGAAGGCAAGGCAGAGACGCAACAAACAGAUGCGUUGAAGAAGAAGAAAAAAUAGGGUUAGGUUGUAGCCUGCUCUGAUACCAUAUGAGUAAAAACUAUUCAAGCGGAAUACUUUUCUGUAUUGAUUAAGUUCAAUAUAUAUACAAGAUACAUUAGGGUUCCCUUAUAAAUCAGAGACUGAUAAGGAAUGACAGCUAAUUAAAUGCAGAUUGAUACAAAAUAUUCUUACGUAUCUUUCCUACUUAUCUCAAGAUACAACUUUCCUAUUUACAUCAAAACACUAUUAAUAUAAUUUCCAACAAGUUUGGAUAAGAGGACUAGUUGUGCAAAGGAAAAACACAUCACUCUCAAUGAACCAUACCUAUGCUAAGAUGCAUUAUUGAUUGGUCCUUUUGCUAGGUCGUGUUUAUAUUCGUUGGUAUUUUCUAAGGUUCAAGGCAGAUCUCUCUUCGUGAGAAAGUCUAUGUCUUAUCGAGUUAAAUCCUAAAUAUUCUAGUGCCUAAAUCUUAGCAUCACAUUUAUUUUCUACUUUGUAUCCUUAAUAUCUGAAGAUACUUAACAGUGUAAUUUUAUACCCUCAAAUAAUAAAGUCUAUAGCUAAUUCCUAAUAUUUAUUGUUAUUAAUUCAUUUCAUUUAAUACCAGGUAUAUGCAUUACGUUGUAAAAUUCAUACUCUGAAUAUUAAUUAAACAAAUUAAUUUUUGUGAUAUUUUUGAAAAUUUAGCCAAAUCGUUAUGGAUAAUCGUAAUUUGGUUAUGAUAUCCAUUUUUUAUUUUUAAAACAUGGUAAAAUACAAUUGUUUUUAUAAAAUAUACAUUGAAAUGUUUUUGAAUUUGGUUGUAUGCACACAAAAAAAAACAUAUUUUUUUUUAAAUAAUGAAUUUUGGAUUUCUUUUUUUGAGUUAAAAAUGAAAACAUGAUGUUUUUAAGAGAUACUUGGCCAUACAAAAAAACAAAUUGAUAAUUUUUGUCCUAACAACUCAAUGAAUCACAAAUCAUCAUCGAUCAUUUCCAAAACCAUAUGCACAAUGAAUAUUUUGUCCCAAAAACUAACAAUUUAUCAAAUAAAUGGUUUGGGUUUAGGAAUCGACCUUCCAUGGUUGUUGUGGUUGUUUACCUUUCAAGGCUGCUAGGUAUUCCCGGCAGCGCGUGGAACCACACACCAUCACUAUGAAAGCAUGGAGUCAUACGUUAUUUCUGUAAAGGAGGAGCACUUAGUGAAUCUAAAACUCAUCUAUCUCCUCUUUGAUUCUUCACUGACGGUGCAACAAACAAACACUUAUAGACAGAGCUCUGAUCUAUUGAAGUUUCAGUCUUCUUCUUGUUUUUCAGUCCAGAUCUGUCCCUUCUCCCUACUUCUGUGUUUUAAUGAUGAUACUGGUGGGAGAUAAUUUUACAAGGUCUAAAACUACUAUAUACCCUCUUCAACUUCCCUCUAGCAGAUCCAUAAAUAGAUCUCUGUAGAGGGAGCUCUACUACGUUGAAGUUUAAUCUAUGCUCUUGUUUUUCAGCCUAGAUAUGUCUUUUCUCCCUACUACUGCGUUUUAGAGAUGCUACUGGUAGGAGAAAGUUUUACUACGUCUGAAACUACUACAUCCCUUCUUAAUUCCUCACUAGUAGUGUCAUAAAUAGAUUUCUGUAGAGGGAGUUCUGCUAUUUGAAGUUCAAUGUCUACUCUUAUUUUUUCUUCACAGUUGGUUGCUACUUCUACUGCUUGUAAGGGCUGUUUUGUGAUGAUUUUAGGGUUGUCUUGGGGUGACUUGGAAAUGGAAUUUUCUGGUACGGAAAUGGUCGCUUAGAUGUUGUUUUAGUGGUUGAGGCUUUAUAUGGUUUGGGGUCUGUUUUAAGUUGUUUUUGUUGGAGUUUUCAUGUCUGGGAGGUCUAUUGAUGACAGUGUUCAUCUCUGUCUAGGCUGCUUCGAUUAGGGUUUUGUGUUGCUUUUAUAGGAUCAAUGAGGAGGCUUUAGGACUUAUGAAUUAAUGAAAUCUCGACCCUUAAUGUUGGAGAAUAUAUUUUAGUCAUUCACUGAAGCUCAAGAUAAAUGUUUGUCCUGCUGUGCAACUCAAAAAGGGAGGACCAAGACGGUGCUGAGUCUGUUUUUUAGAGAGAAUCUGCAUGUGUUUAUAGUGACUUUAAAGCUAGAAUUUUGGCUAAGAGUGAAGUACAAAUACCAUAGUAUAAGUUGACAUAAACUUUGUGUGGUACGGUGAAGGGAUGGGGUAGAAAUUAGGGCUGAAAAGUGAGAACUUGGUCAUCUUUUUCUCUUGUUUUAAUAGGAAGAAAACAAGGAAUAGUGAAAUUAUAUUAUUUUUUUUAAUUUGGUCCCCAAACCUUAUAACGUUGCAAUGGAACUCCCAAUCAGCCCUAAUCUUUUGGAUUCCUUACAAUUCCACCCUUGACCUUAUUUGAUUGGACCCUCAAAUUUAUGCUCUUUUUACAAAGUGAUCCUUGAUUUUGAAACUCUUCAAUUUGACCCUAAUUGACCUUCAAACUUCUAAUUUCUUGUAAUUUUAUCUGUGAUGUCAUCCAAUUAAUCUUGAAAAAAUUAAAUUAUCUCUAAUAUAAUUUUAAAGUGAAUUUUUAUAUUUCCAAUACAGGAGUCGGUUCUUGUUCACAAUAACAUCGUUAAUCUUCCGAGCUUUCUUCCUGGGGUUGCUCUUCCCUACAUAGAGCAUUUCUAACUAUAUUCUGGCAUCUUUCGCAAUUGCUUUUGCAAUCGCAGUGAAUUUACGCAUAUGAACUUCCCUUGCUCUAUCUGCAUUAGGAAUUAAUUAGUUGAAAAAUUCAUGAGUAAUGUGUGUAUGAGAUUCCUAUGCAUCUUUCAGCUUGUUGUUUAGUUUAUAAACCCGUUUCAAGUUCGGAAAUUUGAAUUCCUCUGCUGUCAAAUGUAUGCAUUAGAUGAUGCCGAUAGAGAAUUGAGAUGAAGAGUGUAUUUUAGUUUCAUAGUAUAUGUAUGUAAAGAGAGCAGAGCUAUACCCAAGACUAGGAUCAUUGGAUCAAUGCUAUCUGCCAAUAACUCGAUUUUCCAGGUUUCUUCUUUCCAGAGUCCUUCCUCCCCUGAGCUAGUGAAAGGGAAAGCCAGGUUUCACCAAAUCUGUUGGUGGGAGAAACCACUUGUGGUGGCUUUGAAACACUCGGAGGGGAUAAAACACACUGUUUUAUUUCAAGAACAAAAGCUUACAAACACAAAAAGCUUAAUACACGCCCUCUCUCUUUCUCUCUAGUGUUUCUCUCUAAUCUCUCCACACAAUUUAACAGAAGCUGGGCACUCUAUUUAUACACGAAAUCAAAAUACAAAAAUUCAAACUUUCCAAGUGUGAAGGCGGCUGGCGGUUGCGGCUGGUGGCUGGCGGUUGCGGCUGGUCGGUGGGUGGUUGCCUUCCUUGACCUUCUGGAUUGAGUUUAAGUUUCAACAAAUCUCCCCUUUAAACUCAAUCGAGGGAUAUCAUGCCAAGCAUGAACUUUAAUCGGAUAAAUACUUCUCCUUUUAAUGGCUUUGUGAAGAUGUCAGCAACUUGAUCAUUUGUGUUGCAAGAUAUCAGUUGGACUUCUUCAUUCUUCACAUGUUCUCGGAUAAAGUGAUGACGUGUAUCAAUGUGUUUGCUCCUCUCAUGAUACACUGGGUUCUUUGCCAAUGCGAUUGCUGAUUGAUUGUCAAUAUAAAUCUCCGUAGGAUUUUCUUGAGGAAAUCCCAAAAACUUCAGCAUAUUCCUUAACCAUAUUGAGUGGCAUACGGCUGAGUUGGCAGCAACAUACUCAGCUUCACAGCUUGAUAAUGUUACAAUCGAUUGCUUCUUGGAUGACCAUGUGAAAGAUGUGUCUCCCAUGAAAAAGACAAACCCUGUUGUGCUUUUCAUUUCAUCCAAAUCUCUACCCCAAUCACUAUCCGAGUAGCCUACAAGAUUAAAGUCUUUACUUGAGGUAUAAAACAUACCUUCAUUCAUUGUGCCUUUGAUGUAGCGAAGAAUUCUCUUGGCUGCAUUCAAGUGAGACUGGUCUGGUGUCUUCAUGUAUCUGCUGACGAGUCCGACUCCGUAGAGUAUAUCCGGUCUGGUACAUGUCAAGUACCUUAAGCUUCCUACUAAGCUUUUGAAGUAAGUUGGAUCAACAUUUCCAACCUUACUCUUCCUCAAUUCCACUCCAUUCUCAACUGGAGUUGAUACCGGAUUGCAGCUUUCCAUCUUGAACCUUUCAAGAAUAUCUUUGGCGUAACCGCUUUGGGAUACAAAAAUCCCUUCUUCUUUCUGCGUUACUUCCAAGCCAAGAAAAUGUGACAUUAGACCAAUGUCAGUCAUCUCAAACUCAUGUACCAUGUUUUGUUUGAAGUCAUCAAACAUGGUAGGGUUGUUGCCGGUGAAUAUCAAAUCAUCAACAUACAGGCACGCAAAUAAGAUGCUGCCAUCUGCUCCUUUCUUCAUAUAUAUGGCGUGUUCAUAUGGACAUUUCUCAAAUCCAUUAUCUUGAAAAUACCUGUCAAUUCUGGUAUUCCAAGCACGUGGAGCUUGCUUCAAACCGUAGAGAGCUUUCUUCAACUUGUAUACUUUGCCUUUAUUUUCAGCUUCAAUGUAUCCAAGUGGUUGUUCAACAUAAAUCUCUUCUUCUAGGAAGCCAUUCAGAAAUGCUGACUUCACAUCGAGUUGAUAGAUCUUCCAUCUAUGUUGUGCAGCUAGUGAGAUCAUCAGUCUGAUUGUCUCUAGCCGGGCUACUGGAGCAAAUACUUCUCCAUAGUCAAUGCCUUCUCUCUGUUUGUAGCCUUUAGCCACUAAUCUGGCUUUGUAUCUUUGCACUUCUCCUUUUGCAUUCUUCUUUGUCUUAUAGACCCAUUUGACACCUAUUGCUUUCUUGUUUUCUGGUAGAUAAGUCAGCUUCCAGGUAUCAUUCUUCUCAAUGGCAUGUAUUUCUUCAUCCAUUGCUUUAAUCCAUUUCUCUUCUGUGACAGCUUCAUUGAAGCUUAAUGGGUCACUAUCUGCAAAGAAACAAAACAAAUUUGUAUCUUCCAUUACUUGAGUGGCAUCGUACAGCUCUUCAAGAUUUCUCAUCCUUCUUGGUUCUUCUGAUGAGGAUGCUGAUGGUGGUGUUGAUGAUGAUGCUCCUGGUGUGUUCCUCCUGUUGAAUACAGGGAAUCUGUGUACCGGACUUUGUGGUUCAGCUGCUGGCACAAUCGGUUCUUCGACAAGUACUGUUGGUACUUCUUCACCUUCAAGGAUCAAAUCAAUGUUGAUCCAUUUGACUGCUUCUUGAUCAUCAUUCCAUUCCCAAGAUUUAUCUUCUUCAAAGAUAACAUCUGUACUCAUAAUCACCUUCUUCGUGAUGGGAUUAUACAGCUUGUAUCCCAUCCUUCUUUCACCAUAUCCGACAAAGAUGCAUUUCUUGCUUUUAUUAUCGAGCUUUGUCCUUCUUGCAUCUGGGAUCUUUGCAUAUGCCACACAACCAAAGACUCGUAGAUGAGUAACACUUGGUUUGUGACCACUCCAUGCUUCUUCUGGAAUGACUCCUUACAAACUUCUGGUUGGGCAGCGAUUCAGUAGAUACACUGCACAUGAUACAGCUUCAGCCCAAUAUUGUUUGGGCAACUUCUUUGCUUUGAGCAGACUUCUUGCCAUGUCAAGAAUCGUGCGAUUCUUCCUUUCAGCUACACCAUUCAGCUGUGGUGUAUAAGCUGGUGUUGUCUGAUGUCUGAUGCCUUGUUGUGUACAAUAGGCUUCAAAGUAAUUUGCUGUAUAUUCUCCACCUUGAUCAGAUCUCACGGUUCUAAUCAUGUAGCCACUUUGCUUCUCCAUAAUUGCUUUAAAAUCUUUAAAACAAUUGAAUACUUCUGACUUCCUCUUCAGAAAGUAUAUCCACGUCUUUCUACUAAAAUCAUCAAUAAAAGUGAGGAAGUACCUAUUUUGUCCAGUCGACAUAGGCGUUAUUGGGCCACACACAUCUGUGUGUACUAACUCCAGUGGCCUCUUUGCUUUCCAGUUGACUUCUUUGGCAAAACUGGAUCUGUGAUGUUUGCUGAGGACACAACUUUCACAGACUUCAUCUGGAUGAUCAAUGUGAGGCAAACCUUUGACCAUCUUCUUGCUUGCUAGCAUCUUCAAGCUCGUGAAAUUCAGAUGUCCAAGCCUUAGGUGCCAAAGCCAUUCUUCACUGUUGGUGAUGGCACUCAAACACCUUGCUGCAUCAUACUGGAUGUUCAAAGGAAACAUCCUAUUCUUGGACAUUUUCACAUAGGCAAUUAAUCUCCAAUUGUUGUCUCUAAUUGUCAGAUGACAAUUCUUCGAGUAAAAAGUAUAUCCUCUCUCCAAAAGUUGACCUAAGCUGAUCAGGUUCUGUUUUAUGGCUGGGACAUAAUACACAUCGGCGAUGUAGCUGGAAUCGCCGUUCUUCAACUUGAUUGGGAUGCUGCCUUUACCUUUGAAUGGAACCUUUGAGGUAUCUCCAAAAGUAACUAGACCUUGCUUGGUCUCAUCUAGAUCACCAAAUAACUCUCGGUAGCCGCACAUGUGAUUGCUGGCUCCAGUAUCUAGAUACCAUAUAUUUUCCUGUUUCUCGCCAAGUUUUUGUUGGACAAGAAAUGCAGCUUCUUCUCUGUCAUCCUUCUCUGCAUAGUUGGUUUGCUCACGUAUCUCCAACGGAGCUUUCCUUCUGCAUUCAGUGCUAUAGUGCCCAAAUUGAUUGCAACUAUAACAUUGGAUAUUCCUCUUGUCACGGUUAUUGUAACCGCCUCCUCUUCCUCUAGGAGUGAAUGCUUGUUGUCCUCGACCUCCUCUGGUGGUGUUUCUACCACCUCUUCCUCUAAAGCUUGUAUUCCAAGAUCCUCUUCCUUGGAAUUGCUGAAAUCCUCCUCUGGAUUGUUGACUUCUUGCUUGAGUGGUAUAUCCACUUGUUGAAGUCUCCCCUUGCUCAUAUCUGUCUUUGAGCGACAACUUUGCUUGUAAGGCAUACUCGAUGGCCUUAUCUCCAUUUCGCUUUACAAUCUUCUACUCAUGAGCUUGCAAAGAACUCAUAAGUUCAUCCACUGUCAACUUGUCCACUUCCUUGGACUCUUCAAUGGCGACAACAACAAAAUCAAAUUUUGGAUCUAGGGAUCUCAAAAUUUUCUCAGUAAUUCGAGAAUCGACGAUGGCUUCUCCAUUUCUCCUCAUCUGAUUGACUAUCACCAUAAUCCUUGUGUGAUAAUCAGAAAUAGAUUCUGAGGACUUCAUUUGCAAUAACUCAAAUUCACCUCGCAAAGAUUGAAGACGAAUCUUCUUGAUUCUGUCAGCACCUUUGUAUUUUUGUUGGAGAGCCUCCCAUAUGUCUUUUGAUGUUUCAGCGGAAGCUAUGAUCUCGAAUGUAUCUUCAUCAAGACCUUGGUAGAUGAUGGUCUUUGCUUUGUUGUCCUUCUUUCUGUUGACUUUCAGGGCUUGCUUCUAUGCCUCUUGUAAAACAUCUUCUUCUUCUUUGGACUCUGGUUCAUCAUAACCAUAAUGUACAAUCUCCAAACACUCUUGUGAACCGAGGAAUGUCUUUAAUCUGAUGCACCAACUAUCAUAGUUGUCUUUGGUCAGCUUCGGGAUGAGUGUUUGUGUACUUUCUGUAGUCAUUUUGCUCUUUGAAUGACUAUAUCUCCUUCUAGGAGUUGAAUUUGGCAAAACAGACACUGUAGAUCGAUCCGGAAUGGUCGAAAUAGUUGGGAACCGGUCUGACUUUGUAGAAAUCAGGUCAGAAAAUCGGUGAACCGGUCAACAAACCAAUUCUGUACGGCGGGCGGUUCGCUGGGUUGAACCGGGAAUAUUCUGUGGAAUAUUCUAUCGGCUCGGCUCUACGCGGCUUAACGGCUCAAAUAUGGCGCGCGUGUGGCUCAGUCGUCGUCUACCUCGGGGCGCGUGGUAUGCGCGUGGGAAAACAGUGUCGAAUAUUCAGGAGGCGUGUGUGGCUCACCCCGGUGUCCGAUUGAGCUGAUGUUUGCGGCAGUGAGUUCAUAUGGAUGAGCUCUACACGGGGGAAUGAUCAAAAUUGGUUUUUGACAACUUUGAAAAUUCGGCUAUCUCUGAAAAUACCUCUGUUUUCUGACGAACGGGGCUAAGAUACCAAUUGUUGGUGGGAGAAACCACUUGUGGUGGCUUUGAAACACUCGGAGGGGAUAAAACACACUGUUUUAUUUCAAGAACAAAAGCUUACAAACACAAAAAGCUUAAUACACGCCCUCUCUCUUUCUCUCUAGUGUUUCUCUCUAAUCUCUCCACACAAUUUAACAGAAGCUGGGCACUCUAUUUAUACACGAAAUCAAAAUACAAAAAUUCAAACUUUCCAAGUGUGAAGGCGGCUGGCGGCUGCGGCUGGUGGCUGGCGGUUGCGGCUGGUCGGUGGGUGGUUGCCUUCCUUGACCUUCUGGAUUGAGUUUAAGUUUCAACAAAAUCCACAUCAUGGUCUUUUUUUAUUUUAAGCUAAAAAAAAAAUAGAUCAUUGAUAACUGUCGGCAAAAGACACCAUUCACGUUCUUAACUGUUGUUGUCGUUGAUAUCCUGCCAACAACAAUCAUCUUAUUUUUAGAUUUAAUUCAUGAUUUAUAAUUAAUAAUAAAAGAUUAAUAAUGAUAAGAAUUGAUUAUGAUUAUUACUAGAAUUAAUUAUUUAACCUUUUAAGUUUUAAAAUUCACUAUAAAAAUAAAGGUGAAAAAAAAGUUUCUAACAAGUUUUUUUUAAAAAAAAUUUGACACACCUUUUCAACUCAUUUUUAGUGUUUCCUUUAUCUUUUUAUGCUUUAAUUAUCCUCUAAAUUCUAGAGCUUAAGUUAACUUUGUUGAGAGAUAAUUGAGUUCUUUUAAUUUGAUUUAAAGACCUUAUUUAUAAGUAGAUAUAAAUUAAGGUGAUUUUAUUUGAAUCUUGAAACAUAUUGCAAAUAUCUUAGUAAUAAAAUUUUAAGAACAAAUGAUUCAUCAUUAACAACAACAAAAAAUUUAUUAUUUUAAAAUACUUUAAUUAAAAAUAAGUAUCAUUCUUCGUUUAAUUUAAACAUAUAUAUUUUUAUUAUUAGAAAAUUUAAACAUAGUAAAUUUGGAUUAAUUACAAUACACAAAUCUCGGCUUCUCCAGGCUAUCCCUAUCGAAGUGUGAACUUACUCUGCAUUCGGCAAUGCUACCAUGGCCAUUUGGAGAGCUGCAAACCUGCAAAAGGAUGUAUAUUUAACCAUAAUAGUCGUUAGAAAAUGUUGGGUGGAAUUGAUGUUGUUAAUGUCAUCUAUCCCUUUUGCAAUUGCCAAUGGCAUUGAUUAGGUAAAUUCUUCCGUGCCUUGUCAAAAUAAACGUAGUAAGUUUUUUUUUCCAGACAAUCGAUGAAGACCAGCAGGAAGCAACAAGGUAGAAAGUCUCAGCAUUUGAGGCCCUACUUCCACUCUUCCAUUAAACUUGUGGACACAAAUCAGCAACAGGAACAUGAUAUUGUCAGAGUUCUAAUCAGAUUGAUAGAGUUCCUUUACUGUUUCACGAAAAUUAGCAAGUCAUUACUCUUGCAAUGACUAAUAAAAGAUUUAAUUCAUGAUUUAUAAUGACUAAUAAAAGAUUAAUAAUGAUAAUUUAUAAUAACUGUCGGCAAAGUUUCUAUUUCAGACAAUCGUUGAAGACCAGCAGGAAGCAACAAGGUAGAAAGUCUCAGCAUUUGAGGCCCUACUUCCACUCUUCCAUUAAACUUGUGGACACAAAUCAGCAACAGGAACAUGAUAUUGUCAGAGUUCUAAUCAGAUUGAUAGAGUUCCUUUACUGUUUCACGAAAAUUAGCAGCUCAUUAACUAAGAGUUCUAAUCAGAUUGAUAGAGUUCGUUUACUGUUUCAAGAAAAUUAGCAAGUCAUUAAUCAUGCAACGCCUAAAAUGUGUUUAUAUUUUUGACGUGAACCUUGAGGACUUCAUAGUUAGGUCUGAUUUAAUGAAUCUGACAGCUAGAUCAGAACUUUGAUUUUGUCUGAGAGUGUUUGGCGCAAGUGAGUGUUUCCCGGUAUGUUCUGUAUUUUAUUUUAAAAAAUAUUUUUUAAUUGAAAAUAUAUUAAAUGAUAUAUUUUAAAAAAAUAUCUUUUAUAUUAACAUAUAAAAAUUAUAAAACAAUAUUUAAAAAAUAUUAAUUUAAUAUUUUUUAAAAUAAAUUUUUUAAAAAAAACCAUGACUGAACUUGACAAUUUUUUUGGGGAUAAACUAUCCAAUUUAAACCAACAAACAGAAGUGGGGUAAGAGCCGAAGAGGAUACCUGCUUACUGCUUAGGCCUUGGGAUAACUUUUUGUUUAACAUAAAAUAUUAAUAUGAUUUUUUAACAUAAAAUAUUAAUAUGAUUUAAAAAGAUUAUGAGUGAAUGAGAAAUUGAUCUCAAAAAACUUUUUGUUGGUAUGUUUUCACUACACCAUUAAACAGUUUUACUGAUGGAUUCAUUCCGUCGGUGUAAGGCAUGCAAUUCGUCGGUAAAAUUCUUACCAACGGCAUCACCGACGGAAUACGUCCGUCUUGAUCAUCGGUAAUUCCCCGUUCUGUCGCUAACUCUAUCAGAAAUAAAAAAAAACCAAACACCGACGGUCUUACAGACGGCGAAGCGCGCCAAAAAUUUUUUUCCCGUGAGAACUUCACCGACAGAAUAAUUCCGUCUGUAUUUUCAAUGGUAAUCACCGACGGAAUGGCCGUUGGUGAUUGUGGCAUGGGCAGUAAAUAUUUCAGAACUCUCUAUAAAAUACCGACAAAUAUAGUCCGUCGGUAAUAGCGAUGGUAAACACCGACGGAAUAUAUCCGUCGGUGAUUGUGGCAUGGGUAGUAAUUGUUUUGCAACUCUUGGUAAAAUACCGACGGCCUGGUUUCGUCUGUAAGGCCGUUGGUAUUUAUUUAAAAUAUUUAUUUAAAAAUUAUUUAUUAAUAAUAAAAAAACUAAUUAACCAAAUAAAUAACCAAAUAAAAUUAUAUUAAACAAUAAAAAUAUAAAAAUAAUGUUAAAUAAUAUUCAUCCAAAUAUUCAUUACAAAUUUAAUGUGUUUCAAAAACAAAAUUAAACUAGAAUAACGGCGGAGCUAGAGGAGGAGGAGGAGGAGGAGGCUGGUUGUUCCCGGGACCGUGGGGUUAAAAGGGGCUACACAUGUAUUGCCUGUCUAUCCUCCUGCACAAAAGCUUGAAUUGCAAACUUACAGCACGCACAACACAAUAACAAAAGCAAAAAAUUAUAAAAUAAAUAUUUCAUGUUCCAAAAUAUCAUCCAUAAUAUUACAUUAUAAAAAAAAAAGGCUUUACAACAUAUUUAGUCAUAAUUUUCAUCUUCGUCCUCAAUUGAAUUGUUAUCAGCUUCAUCGCACUCUUCAAUGUGGUUAUCAUCUUCUUCAUCAACAUUCUCUAGCCUACUAAAGCUCAAAACAGCAUUCAACUCCUCUGUGUCAACAUCAACAAGAAUAUCAUCAAAAACAUGAAAAUUCAAAUUUUCUUCUAAGUCAAUCGAAGGAGCAACUCGGUAUGGUUCAACUAACUCACUAGCUUGAAAGACUUCAUCUAUCACACUUGUGUCUUCGUUGUCAUCCUAAACAACCUCGACACGACCCUUGGGUUUGGUUUUUAAAACGGAUAACCAAUCAACUCUUGAUCGAUCCUUUCUAAAGAAAAGGGUGUAUGUGUAAUAAACUUGUUGACAUUGCUUUGCGAAAACAAAGACAUCGUUAACGUUGCGGUGUCUAGGUUUUGAGUUGAUUUCAACGAGACCAUAGUGAGGAUCUACUCUGAUUCCUCUGUCAGUUGUGUCAUACAAAUAGCAUUAUAAUAAAAACACUUUAUUCUACUCGCUAUGAUAUUGUAGUUCGAUGACCUUUUCCAAUCUACCAUAGUAGUCAACUUCAAACUCACUAGAAGUCGAUCCCUUAAUACAAAAUCCGUUGUUGUAUGUCUUUCUUCCAUGCCCGUAUUCUUCAGUAUAAAAGACAUAUCCAUUGACAAAAUACCCGUUAUAGCACUUGACUUUUUUUUCAGGGCCCAGGCUUAGUAAAGACAGUGAAAUAGCAGCACUACCUCCCAUUUGAUAAACCUUGUAUAUCAAAUACAACAAUAAUCUAUAAACAAAUAUUCUAUAAUAUUGACGUACAAUUAAUUACCUUGCAAGAGAUAAUGAGUUUGUGAUAGGACUUACAUGUGUUCUAAACCACGUGGCAAAUUGUUCAUCUUGUAAUUGAAAGAUCUAGGAUUCAGUUAGCUAUGAGUUAUUGGACAGUAAGUAUCGUCGAUGUUGCCUGCAAGGUUGUUCCAAAUUAUAUGAGUUUAUGAUAUCACAAAAUAUAAAUAGUACACUCUUGACAAAGUUUAAGUCGAACAUCUACUUAAUAAAAGAUCUCAACUCAUCGCAGUUAAAUAGGACAUAACUGUGUGCUUGUCUGGACUCUAUUUUAGACAAAUAUCUUCCCCUUACGACAUUUUUAGGCGUGGGUCGUCCAAGAUUGAAGAAUAUUGACAAGUUUCCACUUGAAGGCACUUCACCACCAUCAUCAUGUCGUGGAACACGGUUGAUCCUCGUUCUCAAAUGAGGUUUGAAAUAGUAUGAGAUAAAUGUUGAGAUCUCCUUAACAAUAUAGGCCUCAUAUAUUGAUGCCUCAACAUGCGCCUUGUUCUUAACCUUUUUUAAAAAAAAUUGAACAAGUACCUGCAUAUAUAGAAUUAAUAAAAAAUUAUCAAUUAAAAAAAUAAAAAAAACAUUUAAUUAUGAAUUACAUAGCAACUGUAAUAUAUAACCUCUCGAAUGGAUACAUCCAUCUAUACUAGACCGGUCCUCCAACUUUUACCUCAAACGGUAAAUGUACGGGUAGAUGCUCCAUUGAGUCAAAAAAUGAUGGAGGGAAUAUCAUCUCAAGUUUGCAUAUUGUCUCGACGAUAUUCGUUUCAAGCCUUUCAAUGUGAUCAACAUUCAACUUGUUGGAGCAUAUAUCUCUGAAGAAAUGACUGAUCUCCGUGAGUGCAUCCCAUAUCCCCUUCGACAACAAAUCAUGAAAAGCUAAUGGGAUGAGUGUUUGCAUAAACACAUGGUAAUCAUGACUCUUCAUUCCAUAUAAUCUGCAUUCCUCCGUAUUAACCAACCUUGAUAUGUUCGAGGCAUGUCCAUCGGGAAAACACAGACUCUUAAGCUAUUUGUAGACUAGUAGUUGUGCGUUUUUCUCUAACACGAAGCUUGCUCUUGGUUUUGCAACCCGUGACCCAGAUAUCACAAACUAACUCCAUAUUUUUAUGGUUACAGAACAACGCUAAAUCCAAUCUAGCCUUGAUGUUGUCCUUUGUCUUCCCCUUCACAUCCAUGACGGUGUUGAAAAUGUUCACGUUCUUUUCAUUGUGCAUGACGUCAAGGUUAUGGCAGAGCAGAUUGGUUUUCCAAUAAGGAAGCUCCUAAAAGAUACUUCGCUUUACCCAAUUAUGGGUCAAACCAAAACCAGGAAACUUUUGCUUACCUGACUGGAGACCAUACACAAUGUCACCGUACUCUGACACAACAUCAUGCAAUUCUUCACCAGAAAGACAUGGGGGUGCAACAUCCUUUUCAACUUUGCCAACAAAGAAAUCCUUUCUAUUCUUUCUGUACCUGUGAUUCGGUGGUAAGAAACGACGGUGACAAUAAAAAAAAGAAGCUUUACCUCCGUUUGUUAGCGUGAAUGCUCUUUUUACAAAGUGAUCCUUGAUUUUGAAACUCUUCAAUUUGACCCUCAAUUUACCUUCAAACUUCUAAUUUCUUGCAAUUUUAUCCCUGAUCUCAUCCAAUUAAUCUUGGAAAAAUUAAACUAUCUCUAAUACAAUUUUAAAGUGAAUUUUUGUGUUUCCAAUACAGGAGUCGGUUCUUGUUCGCAAUAACAUCGUUAAUCUUCCGAGCUUCCUUCCUGGGGCUGCUCUUCCCUACAUAGAGCAUUUCUAACUAUAUUCUGGCAUCUUUCGCAAUUGCUUUUGCAGUCGCAGUGAAUUUACGGAUCCACUCGAUAUCCUCCCCACCAUACAAGCAUAUGAACUUCCCUUGCUCUAUCUGCAUUAGGAAUUAAUUAGUUGAAAAAUUCAUGAGUAAUGUGUGUAUGAGAUUCCUAUGCAUCUUUCAGCUUGUUGUUUAGUUUAUAAACCCGUUUCAAGUUCGGAAAUUUGAAUUCCUCUGCUGUCAAAUGUAUGCAUUAGAUGAUGCCGAUAGAGAAUUGAGAUGAAGAGUGUAUUUUAGUUUCAUAGUAUAUGUAUGUAAAGAGAGCAAAGCUAUACCCAAGACAAGGAUCAUUGGAUCAAUGCUAUCUGCCAGUAACUCGAUUUUCCAGGUUUCUUCUUUCCAGAGUCCUUCCUCCCCUGAGCUAGUGAAAGGGAAAGCCAGGUUCACCAAAUCCACAUGAUGGUCUUUUUUAUUUUAAGCUAAAAAAAAUAGAUCAUUGAGAAUAAAAGUUGGACUUUUUAUUUUAAGUUAGGAAGGAAAAUCACCAAUAACAAAUGGUUGGAUUGAGCAGACGGACCUAGGGAGCAGAGACCAUGAGCGGGUUGGCCGACUGAAUUUUCCAAUUUAAACCAAAAAACAGGAAGUGGGCCCAGAGGAUACCUGCUUUGCUUUGCUUAGGCCUUAGGACUUGCCUUGUGUUAACGGUCGGCAAACAACACCAUUCACGUUCUUAACUGUCGUUGUCGUUGAUAACCUGCCAUUGACAAUCAUAUUUCAUCCCAUGAUUUAUUGUGGUUAAUUAAAGAUUAAUAAUAAUAAAAAUUAAUUAUGAUUAUUAUUAAAAUUAAUUAUUUAACCUUUUAAGUUUUAAAAUUUACUAUAAAAAUAAAGGUGAAAGAAGAGUUUCGAACAAGUUUUUUUUUUCUUUAAAUUUUAACACAUAUUUUUUCAACUUAUUUUUAGUGUUUUCUUUAUCUUUUAUGCUUUAAUUAUCCUCUAAAAUCUAAAGAUUAUGUUAACUUUGUUGAGAGAUAAUUGAGUUCUUUUAAUUUGAUUCAAAAAUCUUAUUUAUAAGUAGAUAUAAACUAAGGUGAUUUGAAUCUUGAGACAUAUUGCAAAUAUCUUAUUAAUAAAGUUUUAAGAACAAAUAAUUCAUCAUUAACAAUAAUAAAAAUUUUAUUACUUUAAAGUACUUUAACAAAUAAGUAUCAUCCUUCGUUUAAUUUAAAAACAUAUAUAUUUUUAUUAUUAGAAAACUUAAAUAUUGACAUUUUUAUUAUUAGAAAAUCUAAACAUAGUAAAUUUUCAGCUAAUUUUAUUUGGAGCUGGCUUUGAUCUGUCCAAGAUGACUCGAAACCGGAGAAUAUGGACGUGAGUGAAACGAUUGCCAAUGUCUUGUCAAAAUAAGACAUUGAAAAUUGAUGAAAAUUGUGGAACAUAUGGCUACUUUUCAUGAAGAAGUUUCUAUUUCAGACCAUCGAUGAAGACCAGCAGGAAGCAACAAGGUAGAAAGUCUCAGCAUUUGAGGCCAUCUUCCACUCUUCCAUUAAACUUGUGGACACAAAUCAGCAACAGGAACAUGAUAUUCUCAGAGUUCUAAUCAGAUUGAUAGAGUUCCUUUACUGUUUCAAGAAAAUUAGCAAGUCAUUACUCUUGCAACGCCUAAAAUGUGUUUAUAUUUUUGACGUGAACCUUUAGGACUUCAUAGUUAGGUCUGAUUUAAUGAAUCUUACAGCUAGAUCAGAACUUUGAUUUUGUCGUGUUUUUUAAAAGUAAAAUUUAAUCUGGGACAAAAUUGUACAGAGGAGGAGCUGGCUUCGUAUGUUCAAGAUGACUCGAAACCGGAGAAUAUGGACGGAGAAUAUUUGAGGCCCUACUUCCAGUCUUCCAUUAAACUCGUGGACACAAAUCAGCAACAGGAACAUGUUAUUGUCAGAGUUCUAAUCAGAUUGAUAGAGUUCCUUUACUGUUUCAAGAAAAUUAGCAAGUCAUUACUCUUGCAACGCCUAAAAUGUGUUUAUAUUUUUGACGUGAACCUUUAGGACUUCAUAGUUAGGUCUGAUUUAAUGAAUCUUACAGCUAGAUCAGAACUUCGAUUUUGUCGUGUUUUUUAAAAGUAAAAUUUAAUCGAAAAUACAUUAAAUGAUAUUUUUUAAAAAAUAUUUUUUAUAUUAACAUAUAAAAAUUAUAAAUCAAUAUCUAAAAAAUAUUAAUUUAAUAUUUUUUUAAAUAAAAAAAAUUAAAAAAACCGAUGACUGAACUUGACAAUUUUUUUUUAGGAUAAACUAUCCAAUUUAAACCAACAAACAGAAGUGGGGUAAGAGCCGAAGAGGAUACCUGCUUAGGCCUUGGGAUUUGCCUUGUGUUAACCAAGAAAAAGAGCUAAUGAGUGACUAUCAUCUCUCAUCCAUCUAAAACAUUUCAUCUAAAAUUUCAUGAAACUGGAUGUCUGCUGUAAAAUUUGCUAAAACGAGGUUAAUUAAUGGACAUAUCCAAGUUAAAAAUGGGAUUCUUAUUUUUUAGUGUUGAAAUUUUAUUAAUAUUUAAUAGAAAAGAAAACUUUUUUUUUCACCUCACUCCCCCGCUUCCCUCCACCGCCGAACUCGGACAAAUUUGCCCCUUCUCUUAUCUUUUAUUUUUUCAACGGAGUCAAGUCUCUCCUUUUCUAAUUGUUUUUAAAAUUUUUAAAUAUAUUUAAAGGGAAUUCAAAACAUUUAAAAAAAAACCUAGAAUUCAAACAAUUUUAAAAUCAUAAUUAUAUAAAAUAAAAAUUUAUGAUAAAUAUAUUUUCAAAAGAAAUAUAAUAAUAAAAUUUUAGUAUACAUACUAAUACUAAAUAUAUAUUCAAAUUUGUAAUUGAUAUCAAAUCAAAGUCCUAACAUGCAUUCUAAUAAUAAAAAUAUUUUUUUUAAAAUUAAAUAUAAAAAGAUUUUUACUUAUUGAAGCACUUUAAAGUAAUAAAAAAAUUUCAAAAGUACUUCUGAAAAAAUUUGAAUUUUUUUUAUUUUAAAUUAAUAUUUUUUUUUUGUGUUUUUAGAUCAUUUUCAUGCACAAAUAUCAAAAAUAAUUUUUAAAAACUAAAAAAAAUAUUCUUUUAAUAUAUUUCUAAGUAAAAAAUACUUUAAAAAACAAUUAUAACCACAUGAGCUUUUUCCACUUGUAAAUUAUUUGGGGGUAAUGUGCAAGUUCACCCCCUACUUUUCUGGAAAACAAAUUUUGAUUCGUUUGGGUGGUACAGUGGUACACGGGGCGUGUAUCAUUCUUGUUUUUAAUGUUAUUUGAUUAAUCAUAAAGAAUAUCGUUUUGUUUUUUUAUUAAAAAAGUAUGAUACUUAAAAACACUUUCAUAUUAGAGAAGCUUUCAUUUUUUGUGUUAUAUAUAUUAUUUAUGCUUGAUAAAAUAAAUUAAAAAUACAUAAAAUGAUAAAAAAUAAAAAAAAGGUAAUAAAGCUAAUUUAUUUAGUAAAAACAAAAGAUAAAUGUAAAUAUAAAUGUUUUAUUUUACAUGUUUUGAUUUAUUUUAUGUUAGAGACUAAUUUGCGUUGUUAAUAAAAAAAUAGAUUUUGUUUUAAUAAUUACGCUAUUAAAAUAUAACUCAUUUAUAUAAAAUAUAAGAGGAAAAAAGUUAAAAUUAAAAUAUAAUAAUCUCUUUAAAACAUUAUGAAAUUAAAAAAAAAUCAUUUUAAAAGAUCAGUAACUAUUAAAAAAAAGGUUAAGAAAAACAAUUUAAAAAUUAAAAGAGGUGGUAUUAAUCAAUAUUUAAAUCGAAAAAAUAAAUAAAAAGAAAAAGAAAAGAAAGAGAGGCAGGCCCACGCACAUGACUGACCAGUAAAGAGCUCAAACAUAUGGGUGAGCAAAAAAACUGGAAAACUGAUUAAACUGAGAAAAUCAGAAAAAAAUAACUGAAAAAACCGAACCAUGAAAAAAAAAUUGAUUAAAAUUUUGAAAAAACUGACCGGUUCGGUUCAGUUUUAUAAGCCUAAACCGAAAAAACCAAACUGAACCGAACCCAAACCGGAAAAACACAGAGCCAAAACCGAGCCAAACUGAAAACACCGAGCCAAACGGUUUGAACCGGUUUUUUGUUCAAAAAACCGAACCGAAAUCGAUCAGUUUGAACCGGUUUUGGUUUUUUUUUUAAAUUCAGUUUGGUUACUUUUUUUGAUAAGAACCGAACCGAAAAUAAUCACCCCUACCCAAACACAUCUACGCUUGGAAGGCCAAGCUUGCUGAUGCAGGCGGUAGCCCGAUAAGAAUAACAACAAGCACCAAAAGAAGAGAAUUGACCGAAAUAAGGUUAAAACACAAAGAACCAUAAAAUCUUAUUUUUAUUUCCAAAAUAUUAAUCUGAUAAGUUCUUCCUCCAUUGUAAAAGGUUUGCAAGUCUUUAUAUAAGCCUGAAAUUGCAAUAAAAAGGGAGAAAGAAUCUGAACCUAAUAAUCUUUUCCCAACCCCUCAUCUUCUUCAUCUUUUCUCGAUCAUUGAUUUUCAACUUUCAUUAUCUCUUACAUGUCCUCUUCAAUUGUUCCAUCAAGCAGAAGCUCGAUCCUUCAAUCUAAUCACAAUUAAUUUUAUUUACAUUUGUUCGGGAACCUCUUUGUAUUAAAAUGAAUUGUUCCAUCUCAUUCAAUAAAUUUAUGAACUCUACUGCUUAUAAAGUUUUAUCAAAUUCAUAGAUUUUAAUAUAAAUUCAGAAAUCUCUAGUUCUUUUUUCUUUCUGGAUCAAAAGGUUGUUUCCUAUGCUCUUACAUUUGGAAUGGGUUUAUGAUACUACAUAAGGAUCCAUGGUCACUUUCUUCCUAUCCUUGUUCUUGCAUGUCUCUUUGUUUUAACUAACAAGUUAAUUCUAAAAUCUAUCUCCGCAUAUCCUCUAUCAUGAACUUUUAAACUUCUCCUAAGAAGAACCCCUUAAUCCCUUCCUAUCAGACCAUGUCUCACUCUUCAUCGUCUUUUCACUAUGGUUGUUUAGCAACAUAUAUUAAUAAAAAAUGACCUAGGAUUGCAAUACAUAGCAAAUAAUAACCUAGAAUCAUUGGACUAUGAUACAAACUAAUGCAGGCGAAAGCACGACAAGGAUAUCAACAAGCAUGUAAAAUAGAAAAUUGGUUGAAAUAGGGUUAAAACACAAAUAACCCUAAAAUAUUUUUUUAUAUUUCUAAAAUAUUAAUUUGAUGAUUUAUGCCUCUCUAGGAGGCUUCCAUGUCUUUAUACGUGCCAAAAACUUACCUUAACAAAGUAGAGAAAAUCAAAAUCCUAAAAUAAAAAAUAAAGAUAGCUAAUAAUCAUAAAAUUUAGAAAAAAAUAGCAAAAUUGAAUAAAAACAAAAUCUUUAUAGCCUAAUUUGAGGACAACUGUGUAGUGGAUGAACCGAUAAAAAUUUAAGUCUAAUCCAAUGGUAGGAUAAAAAGAUAUGGUCUCUUUUAACCACUAUACCAAUAUGACAGAACCAAACCUUCUUUUAAGUCACUGAUCCUUAAAAGCAUUUGUUAGGCCAUACACAUAGUUUGUUUAUGACAAAUACCCACCUAGUUAUGACAGGUCUCCAUAAGACUACUCACAACCCUUAGUUUUUGCUAGUCCAGCUACAUCUCCCAUGUUUGAAAUAUUUUUUUUUAGACUUUUCCACUUCACUUCUUUUUUUUUUCUUUCUAAACAAGCAAUUGGUUAUCUACUAAACUGUUUUUCAAUCACCUUUGGUCAUCACAAAAACAUGGUUCGAGUUUCGGAACCAUCCAAACCUAUUUUCCUCCUCAUUUUCACUUGAAAACACUAUAAGAGUUUAAUAAACUCAUUAGAACCCCAAAAAUUCUCUAAUCAGUUCAAAAAAAUAAAAAUCAACUGAAUAACAAAGAAUUAAUAGACUCAAUUUUUGAAAUGGUUAUAGAAAAACACCACUUUCAUUAAACUCUUCUCGAUAAUAUGAACUCAUUAAUACAAAUAUCAGCCUUUUAGCGGCCAAAAUAUUUUUAACCACUCACUUUCUCUAUCAUAGAUUUUUUUGAUAACUUUUCUCUUCUCUCUCCAUAUCCACGAACUAAAACAUGAAAAAAAUGAAGUUGGGCAUCGAAACAUGAAUCCCAAAAAUAAUAGGGAUAAGAGAUAAGAAAAAAAAACUUUAGGGAUUAAAUUGAAAGUUUUCAUGCAAAGAUCUAAAUGGGGCAUGUUUUAUUGUUCUUUGUCAAAUGUUAUCUUUUUUUUAAUUCCUAUCUUAAACUGGAAUAAAAUGUGAUUUUAUGGAACCGACAACCAACAAAUCUUCAAAUACUGGAAAACAAAAGAAAUGUAAAAAAAAAUGGUAAUAUAACUUGUGAUCAACAAAAAAGAAACUCGAAUGUUCAAAUGAACAGGCGAAUUUGAACAUUCGAGUCCACAAUGCAUUGCAUUGUGAGGUGUGCUAUAUAUACAACACACACACUAUUCUUUCCCUCAAUUGGCUUUGGAACAUUGAAAGGAUAUGCUUCAAUUUUCUACCAAUAAUUCACUUUGUAUGGACAAUCUAUUCAAGGAUCAAUCACAUUAUUUGGACUAAUUACUCUUAAUUAAUGUGUUCUCCCAUGAUUUUUUCCUAAUUUGUCUCUCUAUUAAAAAACAAUUAUUUCUAUAAAGCCUUCGACUCAGUCUCUUGGGAUUACCUAGAUGAUAUCAUGGGUUAUAUGGGGUUUGGCAGAAAAUGAAGAAGCAUGAUUUAUGAACAUCUUUCUUCAUCAAAACUCUCGGUUCUCAUCAAUGGAUCUCCUUUAAAAGAAUUCUCUGUUCAGCGAGGGUUGUGUCAAGGAGAUCCAAUUUCCCCCUUUCUGUUUGAAAUAGCUGCUGAGGGCCUCUCGGUCCUUUUUCAAAAGGCAUCUAGGGAGAACAUUCUCAAAGGGCUGCAGUUCGUAUCAAGAAUUUUCCUCAGCCACCUGUAAUAUGUAAUAUGCAGAUUACACGCUAAUAUUCAUCCUUGCAGAUAUUGAUCAGUUAGUUCAAGUCAAAAUAAUUUUGAGAUGGUUUGCUCUGAGUUCAGGCCUAUCAAUGUCGACGAUCACUUGUUCUUGCGCUUGGCUACGUCUAUUUUUUGCAGUUCAGACUCCCUUCCAAGCAAAUAUCUUUGCAUGCCACUAGGAGCCAAUUCAUCCCUUUUCUCCACAUGGAAGCCAGUGAUAGAGAAGUUUCGUAAAAGGCUUCAUAUGUGGAAAGAGAGAUUAUUAAGCAUGGCUGGACGUCUUUGUCUCAUUAAAAGUGUCCUUAAUUUCCUGCCUAUAUAUUUUAUGUUUGUAUUCAAGAUGCUAAAAGGGGUAGGCAGGCUUCUUUCAUCCAUCCAAAGACGUUUCUUAUGGUGCAGAUGUACCAAGUAGAGAUCUUUCUGCAAGAUCCAAUGGAGACUAGUGAUGCGCGAUAAGAAACAAGGAGGUCUCGGUGUAGGCUCCCUUAUAUCGAAAAACAGAGCCCUGCUGCUAAAAUGGAUUUGGAGACUCUCUUCCCCAGGUACAAGUUUAUGGAAAAUGAUUAUCUCUUUGAUGUACAAUCCAGCUUAUGAGGAUGGGAUCCCAAUUUUCUAUAACCAACCCUCCAAGAUCUGGAAGGAUAUUAUGUCCAUUGUUCAAACCGACGUUCACCACAUCUUCACGAAUCAUUGCAAAUUCAUAGUGGGGAAUGACAGUUUAACAUCCUUUUGGCCAGACAACUGUAUUAGUGACUACCCUCUUAAAACAACCUUCCCUAGGCUAUAUCUUUUGUCUUCCUCUAAAUCUACUUUGGUGGCUGACAUGGGUAGAUGAAGCAAUGGAAUCUGGCUCCAGUCCAUGCAAUGGCGCAAACCUCUAUUUCGUUUUGAACAAGAACAACUAUCACUUCUAUCAUCCUUGCUGGAUUCUAAAUCUGGACUCUCAACAACGAUGGCCUCUUCAGUGUAAAAUAUUGCUCUAAAAUGAUGGACCAGUUGCUCUACGGUGGUGCUACUAAACCAUUCUAAUCUUCUAUUUGGAUAAAACUAACCCCACCAAAAGUGAAACUUUUCCUUUGGCUUCUUGUCCAAGACAAAGUAACCACAAGAGAUUUUCUAUUUCAGUAUGACUACCUCACCCUUCAGGAAUCAAGAUGCAUUUUUUGCAAUAAAAGCAUGGAAUCUUCAAGUCACCUCUUCAUUCACUGCCACUUCACUUGGAAUAUAUGGAUGAAACUGCUUUUUAAUCAGGGCUUUUGCAGUUUUUUUCCAAAAUUUGUUGAUGAUAUGUGUUACCAAUGAUCUUCCAUGGUUAAAGGUAAGCAGCAAAAUUUCACAUGGCAGCUUAUUUUCUUAUGUGUUGUAUGAAAUCUUUGGCUCCAACGGAAUGACAUCAUUUUUAAUUACGCUACCCCUAACCUCCAAAUUUGUUUCUCCAUGGUGUGCCAAAGUAUUGCUUUAUGGGUGAGGCUUGAUUCCAGUCCUUGGAGCUUAAUAUAGAGAAUGUUCAGUAGGGAGGAGCUGAUUUCCCAUGUUUUUUUUCGUCCCCCCAACUGUUGCACUCCCCUGUUUCAAAGUUGCAGCAUCUUUUAUGCUUUCCUUUCCUCUGCUUGUUCAUCUAAUGUAAGUUAGGCUAUUAUCUUUGUAGCCAUUUUCUUAAUAAAACUUUUGACUAUUACAAAAAAAAACAUAUAAUUCUUCUGCCCAAUGAAUCUUUAUCAAACGCACUACUUUUUUAAUGUAUUUACACCUAAAAUAAAUAUAUAUAAGUAUUAAUAAUAGAAAACAACAAUGAUUUAUGAUAAAAUUGAUCAAGAGAAUAACUAAAUAAAAAUAUCAAUCAAGCUGGAGAAGUUUUUGAUUGACUAAGAGAGUUGAAAUAACAUUCGAUCAAGUAAUCAAAAAUCAUGAUCAAACUAAGAGAAAAUGAUCUAUGAAUAAAUUUUAAACAUGCGUGGAUAAUUAAACGAGAUAGUUUUAUUCAAAACAAAAAAUCAUAUAAUAUCUGUCGCACACUCGCGAGAGCGCGACAUCGCGGCGACCCUUCCCGGAGCGGGGAAAUAGUGUCAGGGUUUUUAUUUAGUGAAUAAGGGAGUCGCCACCUAGUAUUAUGGCCACUAGGAACCCUAACUGGUCUUUCAGAUAUUCUAAGGCAAGGAACUGGUUGCGUAAAGAGAAGGUAUUAGCACUCUAGUAUGCCCUACUUAAGAUAAGUUGCUUGAUGUUUGGUUUGCCUUAUAAUUUCUAUGGUGUUGGUGUUCUCUUAAUUAGUUUUCCUAGGAUAGGUUUGCUAUGAUGAAUGGAUUUGGGUUCAAAGUCUAAAAGCAAGAACCCUUGGCCAAUAUGGAUUAUAACUUUAGAUAUGUCUACAAAGUGCCAAGGAGAACCGAUGCAAAUCUCUUGAAAUCUGUGUAUGAUUCAAACUAAAUUUAUUAAGAUAAAAAUCCAAGAAGAUUUCAUGUGUUUUAAAAGCUCAUUUUUCCCUUAGUAUUUCAAGAGUUUGCGACUCGUAAAUCACAAGGAGUAGGGACAAAAAUUUAGAAAUCUAAGGAAAUUUAGGGUGCUUUAAAAGCCUAUUUUUGCCUUAGUGUUUCAUACUCUCACGGCUCGUAAACCGUGGAGUCAAAAAUUGAAAUGUCCUCAAUUAUAAUCAAGGCUUCUUUCAAGGAUGUGUGAUGACUUAAUUAUUAUUCCUAGAAAAUUAUUUUGGAUAUUUAUCACUUAGAGUUUCUUUAUCCAAAUAUUAAUAGUGAAUAAUAACAUGUUAUUCCCAAUAAUAUUUUGGAUAUUCAUCCCUUUAGGAUUUGUUUAUCCAAAUAUUAACGGUGAAUAAUAGAUGAAUUCCCCCCAAAAUAAGAUUUUUGUAUUUUUCAGAAUAUUGGUCAAUACCCUUUGGAGUUUUACAAACAUGUUGUAAAAUCCAUAAAUGCAAGAAAAUAAUUUGUUUUUUGUUGUGUUUAAGAAAUCCAUGUGAAAACACAUUUUUGAAACUUCAAAUAUUUGUUUUUUUAAUAUAAAAAAACAAUCAAAAUAUGUUAGGGUAUUAGGUGUAUGCAUGAAAACACACACACACACACACACACACACACACACACACACACACACACACACACAUAUAUAUAUAUAUAUGUCACAUUGCGUCGAAAAUCAGGUAUUCUAAAUAUGAGAUUUGUAAAUAAAUAAAAAACCACAAAAUAAAUACACGAAAAAACAACAACGAUAUUACUCGUUUUUUUUAGGGGCUGGGUCCAACUCAACCCAACUCAACCCAUGUGGCUGGGCUGAACCCAGCAGGCCUAGCCGGGUUACUUGCCAGAACUAGUGACCCGGCUGGGCACAAAGGCAUGCGUGAGUUUCCUCAUGCAUGCCUUGGCUAGUCACUGUUCAAGUGAAUUAAAUUUCACUCGAACAUUAACAAAUACAACUAAGAAUGCAUGCAGAAGUUAUGCAGAAGCUGGGAAUAACAGACUUGGAGAAAGACGAAGGAGCUGCAGCGAUGUUGAAGGCGUGCUGGCUGGUCUAUCCGUGUUCGUCUAUUCCAACCCUUUUCCUUUUGUUCUCUGUUUGCAUCUGUCUCCUCCGUUUAGCUCCGCGUCUUCGUCCCUCUCUCUCUCUACUGGUUUUAGCUUCGGUUUUCUCUUCUUUCCCUCUCCUCUGUUCUACUUUCCCCAUCUCACAGUAAUGCAAGGAUGAAGGAAAGAAAAUCCCUCUGUUCUCAACAUUUUUCCUCUCCUCUCCCUUUCUAUUCUUUCUUUCAUUUUUUCUGCUCUUUUUUCUCCUAUUGACUGCCUCUCUUUCAUUUUUUUUCUUGUCUUUCCUCCGUUUCCCUUUUUUCUCCCAGUAGAAGAGGUUUAUAUAGCCUAAUCACAGCUCUUAUUAGGAAAGAUUCAAUGCACUAAUUCUAGGAUGCAAAUCCCUGCUGAUUUGCAGUAAAAAAACGCAAAAAGAAGACUCAAAUAUUAUGAUUCCUAUUUUGAUUUCUGCAAUUAGUUUCCAGUGAUCAAAGGGUGGUACAACUCCUUUCUUUCCUUCCUUAGCUGGCACCGUGAGGCACCAACUGUUUCCUUUGGACUGAGGCAGAAAAAAAAUGUGGUUUGCAGCUCUCCAAUCAAGCGAGAGAAACAUGGAAACUAGCAGGAAAUUGCAGAGAAAAGGAAAGAAAUUAGAUGGGUAGGGGUGCAUACUGCGAAGUCUUAUUUUUCUUAUUCGGUGUGGUAGAAUUCCCGUCAUUUUAUGAUGAUCCAGUCCCUUCUCCAGCUUCUUAAAACCCAACCAAUAUCCUUCUAAUUACACCUUCAAUUAAAUCCCUCAUUUUAGCACUUUUCAAUUCAGUCCUUGGUCUAAAAAAAUCCUUCAAAUUGGCCCAUAAUCCCUCGAAUCAGACCUGCGAACUUGGGCUAAACCCUUCUCGUGGCAGGAUUCUCUGCUUUCAAAUUAGAUAUUCAAAUGGGAAUAUCUUGAGCUUUUGAUAUCGAAAUCAGGAGAUUCAAAAACCAAAAUUCAUCUAAACAUACAGGACUAUAACUUUUAUGAAGGAUUCAAAGUUAGAUAAAAUUGUUUUGAAGAACAGAAUUGCAACCAAACUCGGCUGGAAACCUUCUUGCGGCAGGAUUCUAUGCUUCCAUGCUAGAUUUCAAACGGGAAAAUCUUGAGCUUCUGAUAUCGAAAUCAAGCGAUUCAAAAGCCCAAAUUCAUCUACGCGUCCAUGACUACAACUUUGAUGAAGGAGUCCAAGUGAGAUAAAAUCAUUUUAGAGAACAGAAUCUGGCAGCAAUCUGGUUGGUCAAAAAGGGUCUCCUGAUCUAAUUCAGAAAACUGACAAUGCCGAGCAUCCCAAUCUAACUGAGAGUCUGCCAUAAAAACAGUCAGCCCUAGGACCCAAUAAAGGUGAAUUGAAUAAUGGUAAAUUUUUUUGAUAUCUAUAAAAGGUCAGACUCAUACGCUAUUGUUUGUCCAAUAUUUUUUUUUUUACUUUUCAACCAGCUCUAAAUGGUUGAAAAGUCGGUGUAUGAAGUUUUUGUACUUUAAAAAUUUAAUUUUCAAUUUGUAUUCACCUCAAGAACAUCCUAAAUUUUUUAAUAAAUCCAUUUCAAACCCCCCUAAAAAAACCUAUUGUAGAAACACAAAUUUUCUACCAAUCAAAUUUCGCCAUGUGUUAUUUUAUUCUUUAAAAGAAAGGAUAAAAUAAAAUUGAAAUAAAUAACAUGAAAAAUAAAUGAGCCUUCAUAUAUUUCUUGGCCAAUGAAAAGUUGACACUUGGGAUGAGAUAUUUAAGAUAUCUUGUCAUAAAUACAAGAUCUCAUCAUAUAUCUUUUCAUAAAUGCAAGAUCCCGUCAAUAAAUAUCAACCAAUAAAAUUAUGACAUGUGACAUUGGAAAAGGACUUGAGGGCCCCUUACAGAUCUCUAUAAAUAGAGGGCCUCAACCUAGAGAAACGGGGUCCAGGAGAUACAAAUUUUCUUCAAGACAAGCUCUUCAAGCAAGGAAGCUCUCUCUCUCUUUCUUCAAGCAAGGAAGCUCUCUCUCAAAGAGUUCUCAAGCCUCCUUCAUCUAUGCUUGAAGUCUACAAAGAACGAAGUUCUGUUGGAUCAAGCCAAAACGCCCCAUAAGAGUUAUUCAACAACACUUUAAAGACAAAUCAAAGGUACUCUUCAAAGCAUCAAAUCACCAAAUCUCGUUAAGCUUUGUUGGAUCAAGCCUAAACGCUCCAUAAGAGUUCUUCAGCAACACUUUGAAGACGGAUUAAAAGUACUCUUCAAAGUAUCAAAUCACCACAUCUCGCUUCACAAUACACGCCCAAAUUCGCGUUCUUGCAAAGCACAAAUCUUGGCUUGAUUACUAAAAUAAAUCAAGUCACCAUACAUCAAAUCCAAGAGAAGAAUCAGAGGAUUGCCAAAUCUUUUGAAAGAAUAUAUUACAUAAAGAUUGUACCCAUUCAUAUAUUUAAUAAAAUCAUAUAUUUGUACACAUGUAAUUGUUUAAUUUCAGGUGCACAAAAUUGUGUCUACACCUAUAUAUGCAUGCCUCUAGCACAUUGUAGAGAGGAGAUAAAGAGAGGCCAUAAGAAAAUAUCAGCCAAUGGAGUACCUUUUUUACCUGCUACUAAUUUCUUUUUGUUGGGCAUGUCUGCACGUGCUCAACGCAUCCGUUCUACUUCGCCGGAAGUCCGGAUGCACCAUCCUCCCACCUGGCCCUCGCCAAUUGCCGAUAAUCGGAAACAUAUUAGCCCUCGGUGACAAGCCCCACCGAACACUUGCUAAACUCUCACAAACUUAUGGACCUUUAAUGACCCUCAAGCUUGGUAGGAUAACCACAAUAGUCAUCUCCUCUCCGAACAUUGCCAAAGAAGCACUACAGAAACAUGACCAAGCCUUGUCUAGCAGAACAGUCCCAGAUGCUGUUCGUGGACACCACAAAAACUCAAUCUUAUGGUUGCCUGCGUCGAGUCAUUGGAAAUUUCUCAAAAAACUCACUGCCACACAAAUGUUCACUUCGCAAAGGCUUGAUGCCAGCCGAGCCCUCCGUGGAAAGAAGGUUCAAGAAUUGCUAGAAUAUGUUCAUGAAAAGUGCAACAAGGGACAUGCUGUCGACGUUGGUAGAUCUGUUUUCACAACUGUCCUUAAUUUAAUUUCAAACACCUUCUUCUCUCUUGAUAUAGCCAAUUACAAUUCUGAUUUGUCUCAAGAGUUCAGCUAUCUUGUGGUGGGUGUCAUGGAACAAAUUGGCAAGGCAAAUAUUGCCGACUAUUUCCCAAUACUUCGAUUAGUAGAUCCACAAGGUAUAAGACGAAAGACGAAUAAUUAUUUGAAAAGAUUAACUCAAAUUUUUGAUAGUAUCAUCAACGAGAGGACACGACUACGUUCUUCUUCGGUUGCAUCCAAGGCAAGCCAUGAUGUACUUGAUGCCCUGCUGAUUCUAGCCAAAGAAAACAAUACUGAAUUGAGCUCCACUGACAUACAGGUUUUGCUUCUGGUAAGUAUUGAGAUUAGAUUAUCUAAUUGAUAAUUAUGACCAAGUUUUUCUGCACACUAACCUUCAGUUCAGAAAUUAAUUAUCUUACGUAUUUAGGAUUUUUUCAUUGCGGGCACUGACACUACCUCAAGCACAGUAGAGUGGGCAAUGACAGAGUUAUUACUGAACCCUGAUAAAAUGGUCAAAGCCAAAAAUGAGCUCCAACAAGUCGAAGGACCAGUUCAAGAAUCAGACAUCUCCAAGUGUCCUUACCUUCAAGCAAUAGUCAAAGAGACAUUUCGGCUGCACCCACCAGCACCACUCCUGCUGCCCCGUAAAGCCGUAUCCGAAGUAGAGAUGCAAGGCUUCACAGUGCCCAAAAAUGCACAAAUACUAAUCAAUAUUUGGGCAAUAGGAAGAGAUCCAACCAUAUGGCCAGAUCCUAAUUCGUUCAAGCCUGAAAGGUUCUUAGAAUGCCAAGCUGACGUGAAAGGAAGAGAUUUUGAGCUAAUUCCAUUUGGAGCAGGAAGAAGGAUUUGCCCUGGAUUGCCUUUGGGCCACAAGAUGGUGCAUUUGGCGUUGGCAUCUCUCAUCCACUCUUUUGAUUGGAAGAUUGCUGAUGACUUGACACCAGAGGAUAUAGACACGAGUGAAACGUUUGGGAUUACAUUACAUAAGAGUGAGCCUCUCCGGGCUAUACCCAUGAAAACGUGAACUUAUUUCUCUACAAUGUUACCAUGGCCUCUGGGACGAGGUAUGAGAUAUUAUUACGUUCUAUUCCCUCUGCUGGAUUUGGACAGGGUACGCCUUGUAACUAACCGGGAGAACUGUUUCCCGAAAUUAGAAAUAUAAAAUAAAAACGGAGCUGUCCAAACUUUAUUGACUCUGAUAAGGGGAAGUUGAAUCUGAUAUUUUCUGUUAUGUUUAUGGGUUUCUGGUCUGCUUUCUCUCCCUCUUUCUACUGUCUCCUCUUUAUUUCAUUUUCUUUUCCUUUCAUUAGCUUAUCUCCUGCUCACUCUUUGAUUAUUCGGCACAGAAAUCAUAGUGCAUCGCCCAUCGCUUGUGGAUUGUUUUUUUCUUUUUCAUUAUCGCUUGAGCACUACCGUUAUGAUUUUCUUACCUCAUUUUUUUAAAAAAAAAUUCUCUGCUUUCUAUAAACACCCUCCAUCAUGGAUGGGUUUAGUGUUUUUUUUUAGGAUCCAUUCUCUCUUUUUCAUGGUCGGACAGUAAUGGAUGUUUGGAGAAUUGUUUGAAGGCUAGAUUUCAAAGAUUUUAGAUUUAAGACUCCAUUUUAGUGGCUAGAAUAUUUAAUGUAGAUUGGUGGUUUUAGAUGUUAAUUAAAAAAACAUGUUAUUGUUGAUGGUGUAGUGUAUCAUGUGAAACAAGCUUGUAUGAAAAAACAUCAUUUGUAGGUUUGGUUGCCUUUUUAUGCUUGUAGCAAAAAAUGGGAGACAAUUUGACAAUAUAAAAUUUAAAGCUUUCAAUCAACGAUUGUGGUAGUUUAUAUGUAUGGUAGCCAUUCAAAUAGUUACGUAAAUAGUUACAAGUAAUAUUAAUUUUGUUUAUAUAUAUAUAUAUAUAUAUAUAUAUAUAUAUAUAUAUAUAUAUAUAUAUAUAUAUAAGUUCACGUUUUAUCUUCGGAUUUGAUAUAGAAAAUAGUGCUAACACAGCCAAAGGGAAGAAUAGCAUGCAACAUCCAACUUUUGAAUUUCUUCUACGAUAAACUAAGUGAUUAAUUAUUUUCCCUGUUUCUAAGAACAAGAAAUUCAAACAUCACACAGUCUGGGUAAAACAUGGUCUGGACAUCAUCAGUUUCGAAAUACAGUUUUCUUUUGGCUUGGCGGGAUUCAUCCGCAGAUAUUGUUGACUGUAAUGAAGAGCUUGCUGACAUCAUGGAUCCAGGUGUGAUCCUUACGUUGGGAGAGGUUUUCUGGGGUGGCUGGACUGCUUAGUGGUCCGGUGAAGGAGCUGGACGAAACUGCAGAAGCAACUGUGGAAGCAACCAUGGAAGAUGCUGAAAACUUGUGAACACUUUUCUGAUUUCUUCUAGAUUAAUGGCAUCCAUUUCUUUCUGAAGUAACCCUCAUGAAGUAUGAAUCAUCAUGAUGCAAAAGAUUUGUUUCUCCAAUUCCUUUAGUUUUUGUUCUUCCACCUGCUUUCUCCUCCCUUUCAAAAUAUACCAUCAAUUCCUUCCACGUCCUAUGCGUUGCAAACCCAGAAAUGAUCGAUGUCCACGAUACCAAAUUAUUCCUCUCCACCGAAAUAUCCUCAAAAAAAUUUCAACACUCACUAUGGAACCACAUCUUGAAUAUGUAUCUAUAAUUGACUUGGCAAUACUUAUAUCAAACACCUUAAACCAUGUUUUCUUUGUAUAUCCAUGGAUCAAGCUGCAAACUUGAUUUCCUUAUAAUCGAAUUUGGAGACCAUCCAUCUUCCGAUUCUUCUUCAAUUAUGAAGUACCAAACCCAACUUCUUUUUACUUGAAGAAAAAAGGACUGGCUUUUUUCUUUUUAAGGAAAAUUGGCUUCUAGAUUAGGGAAAGGAAAAUGGAGUACUGGGCAGAGAAGCCUAUGCAGGUGAGGGCAAUCAAGGCUUUAGGAAAAGGGUUUGAUUUGAGGAGUGAUUUCAGAUUGAAAUUUGAAAAAAGAACGAGCAGUAAUAACGAAAGGAAGGUUGUGUUUCUGAGGGCCUUACUGUUUCCAAGUAACUAAAUUUAUCUCAGGCAUUUCAUCAAAUAGAAGCACAGGAUCACCUGAAACCCCAAUUUAAAAGAGCACUUUGUACAUAAACAUGACAUUAAAAACCCACUUUGAAUGUAAGACCAUGAAGAAAAUCACCAGCUAGUGGUGGUGGUGGUGGUGGAGGCUCUGUUGAUGGUGGUGGUGGAAUGUCCUCAACAAAACUAACUUCCCAGCUGACUAUAGCCACCUAACUAACCAACAAUCACGUGUGAAAAUCAAAAAUCCAAAUAACUAACUGCAUUAAUUAGUUGUUGCUGCUAGUUGUAGCUUUCUGUCUUCAAUACAAGAAUUCGUGCUAAAAUCUAUAAACUGCUCAUUCAAUUCUUUCAAACCUUCCCCUGUUGCAUCCUCUUGAAACAGAUCGAACCAUUUGACUAGUCCCAUUACCACAUCUUUAUUACCCUUCUUCAUGAUUUUUCUAUCCAAAAUUGCCACUAGUUGCACCUUAAAACGACCAUACUCAUCCAUCCUUGGUAAUUCUAUAGCCACUACAGCACUACCUCCCACCUUUUUCUCAAGAAAUGAGACACGAAACACUGGAUGAAUAGAAGAAUCUGCUGGCAAUUAUAGCUUGUAGGCUAUUGGCCCAACCUUUUGUAUAAUUUUACUUUGUUGUUUUCCACCAUUGUCUACUAUUAAAUGAUGAAAUAAUGUAUUUCCUUAAGGUUGACGAAUUAAAAAGAAAGAAAUAAGAAGAGAGAAAACUACAGAAAUAAUGACAUUCUUUUAUUACUUGAUCAUCAUGUUUCUUACAAUUCUUCCUUUAUACAAUUCCAUUUCAACUAACUACCCGUUAACUAAAAAAACUAAUUGUCAUCUAACUUCCCAGAUGACAUAACUACCUAACUAACUAACAAUCACGUGUGAAAAUCAGAAAUCCAAAUAAAAAGUUCUUGGUAAAUGGUAAGUGCAUAAUCUAGUAGCAUAUAAAAAGUUCUCUAAUGACUCUCAUCAUCUCGCGCGCUACUAUUCAACUUUGAUAAUUGGCUUUUUUUGUUUCACUAUUUAUAUAUCUAUACAUAAGGUGUACAUUGAAGCUCUUUGUGGUUGGCUAUCCAAGUUUUCUUCUCCAAAAGUUAAAUCUUACUCUAGUGGCAACUUUUUAAUCCUUGAGGGUGUUUGGUUGCGUGGUUGCUUCUGCGUUUGAAGCAACCACAGCAACUCACCUGUUUGGUAAUGCUCCAACAGCAGAUUUCUACUGGUGGGGCCUAUUGUUAAUUGUGGCAUGGCCACAGGUUUGCAAGAAGCAGCAAUUUGUUGCUUCUUGAGCUGGAAAACUCAUGAUCCACUGUUCCGGUCAGACCGGUCCAGUUCAACGCUAAAAAUGCAUUGAACUUAUGAAUUAAUGAAAUCUCGACCCUUAAUGUUGGAGAAUAUAUCUUAAUAGUUAAAUCUACAAUAUUUAAAUUAAAAACCAUCAAUAUUAAUAUAUAUUUUUUAAUAUUAUUUUAUAACCUCAAUUUCAAAAGCAUUUUUAACCAAACACAUUAAACUACUUUUUCUUCAACCUCAAUUUCAACUACAGUUUUAACCAAACAUCUAUUUUUUCAAACCAACCUCAACUAAAAGUACUUUUUAUAAAACAACUUUUUUCAAAUCACAACCACAACAGCUACCGCAAUACCAAACACACUCAUAUAGAAUAAAUCGACCACUAUUGCUAGUAAAUUUCAUGAUUGGUUAGUGUUGUGAUGUGCACGAUGUUGAAUGACGGGUUUUCCUCCUUGAUUGAAGGGUUUUGGGAUUAAUCAUAAAAUUAUGAUUUUGAAGGAGUUGACACCUAGUAUCAUGGUCACUAAAAAACCUAAUGGUCUACGAGAGUUUUAUGAGUAAAAACUAUUCAAGCGGAAUACUUUUCUGUAUUGAUUAAGUUCAAUAUAUAUACAAGAUACAUUGGGGUUCCCUUAUAAAUCAGAGAAUGAUAAGGAAUGACAGCUAAUUGAAUGUAGAUUGAUACAAAAUAUUCUUACGUAUCUUUCCUACUUAUCUCAAGAUACAGCUUUCCUAUUUACAUCAAAACACUAUUAAUAUAAUUUCCAACACUCCCCCUCAAGUUGGAGAGUAAAUAUCAAUAACUCCCAACUUGCACAUGAGCUGUUUGAACUUCUCUUUUCCCAAAGCUUUUGUAAACACAUCUGCUAAUUGUUGUGAGGAAAUCACGUAUUAAGUAGCAAUUUCACGUCUUAAAAUUUUAUCCCGAAUAAAGUGGCAAUCCAUUUCAAUAUGUCGAGUUCUCUCAUGAAACACAGGAUUUUUUGCAAUGUGUAAGGCAGCUUGAUUAUCACAAUGAAGAGUAACAGGAUCUGAAACUGGCAUAUGUAAAUCUGUUAAUAAAUGUCUUAACCAAGUAAGCUCACAACAUGUACCUGCCAUUGCUCUAUAUUCAGCUUCCGCACUUGAUAAGGAAACUGUCUUUUGCCUUUUGGUUCUCCAUGAAAUUAAAGAAUUUCCAAGGAAUACAAUACCCAUUGGUGGAGCGGCGAGUGACAGGACAACCCACCCAAUCAGAGUCAUAAAAUGCCCUUAAGUGUAAUGAGUUAUUUGAAUGAAGAAGCAAACCUUGACCAGGAGCUGAUUUUAAAUAACGAACAACUCGAAGAGCAGCAGCCAUGUGAGGUUGACGUGGUUCAUGCAUGAAUCGGCUGAGAAUGUGAACUGAAUAUGUGAUAUCAGGUCUAGUGAUGGUUAAGUAAAUUAAUCGACCAACUAGACGCUGGUAUAUACAAGGAUCUUUGAGCAAUUCUCCUGUAUUUGAAAGUCUGCAUUCUUCCAUAGGAAACUCAACUGGUUUGGCACCCAAGUAUCCACUGUCUUUGAUAAUUUCCAAAGCAUAUUUGCGCUGAGAAAUGUAAAUGCCUUUCUUGGAACGGGCUAUUUCAAUGCCUAAGAAGAAUUUCAUAUCACCAAGGUCUUUGAUGCGGAAACGAGUAUGAAGGAACUGCUUUAAACCUUUGAUGGAUUCAAUGUUGUUCCCGGUUAUCAAAAUGUCAUCCACAUAGAUCAAUAGGAUAGUAAGAGAUGUGUCGUCUCUUUUGAUGAACAAGGAAUAGUCGGCUUUUGACUGAAAAAAACCAGCAGCAAGAACAGCUUCUGUGAACUUAGAGAACCACUGUCAAGACGCUUGUUUAAGGCCGUAUAGUGACUUGUGGAGGCGACACACAAUGUUCUCCCCCUGUCGCCGAAGACCAGGAGGAGGAGACAUAUAUAUUUCUUCCAAUAAAUCACCAUUUAAGAAAGCAUUGUUAACGUCUAGCUGAUGUAAAGGCCAGUUCAGACUGGCAGCAAUAGCAAAGAGGUAGCAGACAGUGACCAUUUUUGCAGUGGGGGAAAAAGUAUCAUGAUAAUCAAUUCCAGCAGUUUGUGUGAAACCCCGAGCGACCAGGCGAGCUUUAUAGCGCUCAACAGACCCGUCAGCCUUGCGUUUGAUGCGAUCACCCAUUUACAACUGAUCGGGCGUUUGCCAGGGGGCAAAGGAACAAAGCUCCAUGUCUGAUUGUCAAUGAGAGCUUUAAGCUCAGAAUUCAUAGCUUCCUGCCACUUAGGAUCAGUCAUAGCAAGUUCAUAUGAAGGAGGUUCCUCAUCACGACUAACAUUGGCAAUAUAACAGAGAUGUGAUGGAGAAUACCGAUUAUAAGAAAUAAAAUGACAGAGAGGAUACUUUGUACCUGGUGUAGGUGCAGACGAGGCCAAGAACAAUUGGUGUGGAGGCAGAAUCACCUGCGAGCAAACAUAAUCCUUGAGGCGGACGUUGGCUUCUCGAGGGCGUUGAGGAUGGCGAAAUGGCUGAUCAGGAAUAACCAGAGUAGGUUCAGGAAAGACAGGGUCAUCCGGCUGAACAGGGGUUUGCUGUGCAGCUGGUGGAGUUAAUGGAGUAGAGGAAGGUGGCUCAGGAAGAGAAGGACUGAGUCGGUUGGUGCAGGUGAAGAGGAUAUGGGGGGCUCAAAGGGGUCGAUGAUGACUGAUGAGGGAGGAAGAUGGGAAUAAGAAUCAGACAAAAUAGGAAGAGGAAUAGACAAGGCUGGUGGAUUGUGUGCUGGAGGAUUGACUUGUGGUGGAUGAUAAAAGGUGUCUUCAAGAAAUACCACAUCCCGAUUAGUGAAAAUUUUCUGAGUAACAAGAUCAUAAAGUUUGCAAGCCUUUUGUCCCAUAGGGUAACCAAGAAAAAUGCAUUUUGUGGCACAGGGAGAAAAUUUUAAUGAUGGAUUGACUAUGGUUGCAAAAGCAAUACAUCCAAAAACUCGCAUGCGAGAAUAAUCAGGAAGUUUGUUGUAAAGAAUCUCAAAUGGUGUUUUUUUGUGAAGCAACAGAGUAGGAAGGCAAUUAAUAAUAUGGACGGCAGUAAGAAUACAUUCUCCCCAGAAAGUAAAGGGUAAAUGAGAUUGAAAACGUAGAGCGCGAGCAGUUUCAAGGAUGUGUCUAUGUUUGUGCUCAACGACACCAUUUUGCUGAGGUGUAUAUACACAAAAGUGUUGAAAAAGAACACCUUCCUCAAGAAAAAAAAAUUUUAAUGAAAGAAAUUCAGCCCCAUUAUCAGAAUGGAGUUUUUGAACUUUUGUAUUGAAUUGAGUGUGAACAUAAUGAAAAAACUGACGAAGUAGAGUUUGUGUCUCACUCUUGUUACGCAUUAAAAAACCCAUGUAAAACGAGAAAAAUCAUCCACAAUGGUCAAGAAAUAAAAAGCACCAGAAAUAGAAGGGGUUUUAUAACGACCCCAAAUAUCACAAUGAAUAAGAGAAAAACACUUCGAAGUUGAAAUUGAACUAGAAGGAAAAGGUUGACGAAUUUGUUUUGCCAAUGGACAAACAUCACAUUUAUGACUGGAAUCAAAAUUAAAUUUAAGCAAAUUAUCAGCUAAAAAUUGUAAACGAUUAGAAGAAAGGUGACCCAAUCGGCAAUGCCAAAGAUUGGAUGAGAUAAUCAAAUUGCAAGCAAAACGGGUAGAAGGAGGAGUUGAAGCCAACGCCACAAGGUAAUAGAGGUCAUCACGUCGCUUACCCACACCAAUCAUCGUCCUCAUAGCCAAGUCCUGCAAAAUACACCAAGAUGGAAAAAAAGUCACUAAGCAAUGUAAAUCAUCGGUUGUCUUGCCAACAGACAUAAGAUCAACUUUAAAGCUUGGCACACAGAGGACAUUAUUCAAUUGAAAAGAAUUGUUAAAUUGAAUUGAGCCAGUCACAGUAAUUUUAGCCACGUCUCUACUAGGUAAGGAAACAGGUGCCAAAGAUUGAUUCUUGUCGACAUGCUUUAAUAAUGUGGGAGAAGAAGUAAUAUGAUGGGUUGCCCCACUGUCAAGUAUCCAGUGAUUGUGAGCAACCGGUAAUAAACCUGAUGUAUGUUUAAAGGUUGAGUCAGCAACAACAUUAGCCUGUGGAGUGACAAGCUUGGUGGUCAAGGCACUAAGUAUCUGAACAUAUUGAUCCUCAGUUAAGUUGGGCAGAGAGACCUGGAGUUCUGAAAAGUUGGAUUAAAAUCCACUUGAUUUGCAGAGGGGUUACCAGAUGCAGAGUGUGAGUUAUGCCUGUCAUAGCCUUGGUGUUGGUGUGGUGCCUUUUCUUUACUUUUUGGAUGACCAGGAGGGUAGCCAAUUAAUUUGUAAGAGGUUGCUUUCCUGUGAUACAUAUCACCACAGUAAGUGCACUGAAAAGGCUCUUUAUUACGUGAAUUAUUUGAUUGAUUCCCAUGAACUUGAUUAUUGUGCCGACCCUUAGACAUGUUGUAAUUGCCACGCACAGCCAUGGCUGCUGUAUUUGAUGGUAUGGUGACAGCAGCCCCCAACUCUCAUUGUUUUUCUUCCUACACAACAGAGGCAUAAGCUUGACAAACCGAUGGUAAAGGGUUCAUCAGUAAAAUCUGACCUCUUGCACCUGAAUAUGACUCGUUGAGUCCCAUGAGAAACUGUAUAAGUUUGGUUCGAUCAUUAUGCGCACCACAGGUACAUGUUUCUGAAUUAAAGGAUACAAGCUCGUCCCAUAAACCCUUCAAUUUUGUGUAAUAUGCUGUAACUGACAUCUGACCUUGCUCAAUCCUAUAGAUGUCGCGUUAAACCUGAAAAAUACAGGGAGCAUUGCCUAAAGAAAAUCUUUCACGAAGAUCUUCCCAGAUGGCAUGAGGAGUGUUGCAUGAAAGAACAGAAUCGGCUAACUCUGGUUCAAGAGAAUUUAGGAUCCAUGAAAGCACCAUGUCGUUGCAGCGCUGCCAAAGGGCAUGUUCUUCAGGAUUUGAAGCCUCAUGGGGUUCUUUGAUUUUUCCAGUAAUAAAACCUGUCUUAUUCUUGGCACUUAGAGAAAUUUUCAUGGCACAGUGCCAAGAAUUAUAGUUGUCACCAUUCAAUCGUUUUGAAACAAGAAGCAAACCAAGGUGAUCUGAGUGGUGGAGGAAUAAUGGAGAACCAAGGGUGCUGGGAGCAGAGGAUGAAUCGCCAGAACUCAAGAAAUCAAUAUCAUUAGCAGCCAUGAUUUUAAAAGAGAAAAAGGAAGGCAAGGCAGAGACGCAACAAACAGAUGCGUUGAAGAAGAAGAAAAAAUAGGGUUAGGUUGUAGCCUGCUCUGAUACCAUAUGAGUAAAAACUAUUCAAGCGGAAUACUUUUCUGUAUUGAUUAAGUUCAAUAUAUAUACAAGAUACAUUAGGGUUCCCUUAUAAAUCAGAGACUGAUAAGGAAUGACAGCUAAUUAAAUGUAGAUUGAUACAAAAUAUUCUUACAUAUCUUUCCUACUUAUCUCAAGAUACAGCUUUCCUAUUUACAUCAAAACACUAUUAAUAUAAUUUCCAACAAGUUUGGAUAAGGGGACUAGUUGUGCAAAGGAAAAACACAUUACUCUCAAUGAACCAUACCUAUGGUAAGAUGCAUUAUUGAUUGGUCCUUUUGCUAGGUCGUGUUUAUAUUUGUUGGUAUUUUCUAAGGUUCAAGGCAGAUCUCUCUUCGUAAGAAAGUCUAUGUCUUAUCGAGUUAAAUCAUAAAUAUUCUAGGGCCUAAAUCUUAGCAUCACAUUUAUUUUCUACUUUGUAUCCUUAAUAUCUGAACAUACUUUACAGUGUAAUUUUAUACCCUCAAAUAAUAAAGUCUAUAGCUAAUUCCUAAUAUUUAUUGUUAUUAAUUCAUUUAAUUUAAUACCAGGUAUAUGCAUUACGUUGUAAAAUUCAUACCCUGAAUAUUAAUUAAACAAAUUAAUUUUUGUGAUAUUUUUGAAAAUUUAGCCAAAUCGUUAUGGAUAAUCGUAAUUUGGUUAUGAUAUCCAUUUUUUAUUUUUAAAACAUGGUAAAAAUACAAUUGUUUUUAUAAAAUAUACAUGGAAAUGUUUUUGAAUUUGCUUGUAUGCACACACAAAAAAAACAUAUUUUUUUUUAAAUAAUGAAUUUUGGAUUUCUUUUUUUGAGUUAAAAAUGAAAACAUGAUGUUUUUAAGAGAUACUUGGCCAUACAAAAAAACAAAUUGAUAAUUUUUGUCCUAACAACUCAAUCAAUCACAAAUCAUCAUCGAACAUUUCCAAAACCAUAUGCACAAUGAAUAUUUUGUCCCAAAAACUAACAAUUUAUCAAAUAAAUGGUUUGGGUUUAGGAAUCGACCUUCCAUGGUUGUUGUGGUUGUUUACCUUUCAAGGCUGCUAGGUAUUCCCGGCAGCGCGUGGAACCACACACCAUCACUAUGAAAGCAUGGAAUCAUACGUUAUUUCUAUAAAGGAGGAGCACUUAGUGAAUCUAAAACUCAUCUAUCUCCUCUUUGAUUCUUCACUGACGGUGCAACAAACAAACACUUAUAGACAGAGCUCUGACCUAUUGAAGUUUCAGUCUUCUUCUUGUAUUUCAGUCCAGAUCUGUCCCUUCUCCCUACUUCUGUGUUUUAAUGAUGAUACUGGUGGGAGAUAAUUUUACAAGGUCUAAAACUACUAUAUACCCUCUUCAACUUCCCUCUAGCAGAUCCACAAAUAGAUCUCUGUAGAGGGAGCUCUACUACGUUGAAGUUUAAUCUAUGCUCUUGUUUUUCAGCCUAGAUAUGUCUUUUCUCCCUACUACUGCGUUUUAGAGAUGCUACUGGUAGGAGAAAGUUUUACUACGUCUGAAACUACUACAUCCCUUCUUAGAUUCCUCACUAGUAGUGUCAUAAAUAGAUUUCUGUAGAGGGAGUUCUGUUAUUUGAAGUUCAAUGUCUACUCUUAUUUUUUCUUCACAGUUGGUUGCUACUUCUACUGCUUGUAAGGGCUGUUUUGUGAUGAUUUUAGGGUUGUCUUGGGGUGACUUGGAAAUGGAAUUUUCUGGUACGGAAAUGGUCGCUUAGAUGUUGUUUUAGUGGUUGAGGCUUUAUAUGGUUUGGGGUCUGUUUUAAGUUGUUUUUGUUGGAGUUUUCCAAUGUCUGGGAGGUCUAUUGAUGACAGUGUUCAUCUCUGUCUAGGCUGCUUCGAUUAGGGUUUUGUGUUGCUUUUAUAGGAUCAAUGAGGAGGCUUUAGGACUUAUGAAUUAAUGAAAUCUCGACCCUUAAUGUUGGAGAAUAUAUCUUAGUCAUUCACUGAAGCUCAAGAUAAAUGUUUGUCCUGCUGUGCAACUCAAAAAGGGAGGACCAAGACGGUGCUGAGUCUGUUUUUUAGAGAGAAUCUGCAUGUGUUUAUAGUGACUUUAAAGCUAGAAUUUUGGCUAAGAGUGAAGUACAAAUACCAUAGUAUAAGUUGACAUAAACUUUGUGUGGUACGGUGAAGGGAUGGGGUAGAAAUUAGGGCUGAAAAGUGAGAACUUGGUCAUCUUUUUCUCUUGUUUUAAUAGGAAGAAAACAAGGAAUAGUGAAAUUAUAUUAUUUUUUUUAAUUUGGUCCCCAAACCUUAGAACGUUGCAAUGGAACUUCCAAUCAGCCCUAAUCUUUUGGAUUCCUUACAAUUCCACCCUUGACCUUAUUUGAUUGGACCCUUAAAUUUAUGCUCUUUUUACAAAGUGAUCAUUGAUUUUGAAACUCUUCAAUUUGACCCUAAUUGACCUUCAAACUUCUAAUUUCUUAUAAUUUUAUCUGUGAUGUCAUCCAAUUAAUCUUGAAAAAAUUAAAUUAUCUCUAAUAUAAUUUUAAAGUGAAUUUUUAUAUUUCCAAUACAGGAGUCGGUUCUUGUUCACAAUAACAUCGUUAAUCUUCCGAGCUUUCUUCCUGGGGUUGCUCUUCCCUACAUAGAGCAUUUCUAACUAUAUUCUGGCAUCUUUCGCAAUUGCUUUUGCAAUCGCAGUGAAUUUACGCAUAUGAACUUCCCUUGCUCUAUCUGCAUUAGGAAUUAAUUAGUUGAAAAAUUCAUGAGUAAUGUGUGUAUGAGAUUCCUAUGCAUCUUUCAGCUUGUUGUUUAGUUUAUAAACCCGUUUCAAGUUCAGAAAUUUGAAUUCCUCUGCUGUCAAAUGUAUGCAUUAGAUGAUGCCGAUAGAGAAUUGAGAUGAAGAGUGUAUUUUAGUUUCAUAGUAUAUGUAUGUAAAGAGAGCAAAGCUAUACCCAAGACAAGGAUUGUCAUAACCCAUUUUUGAGUUAUUCCCCAAUUCACAUUUUUUCCUCUCUUAAAAAAUAAUAAUAAUAAUAAUAAUACAAAAAAAUCAAAAAAAUAUUAUCAAAAAAUAUAACAGUGAAAAGAGGAUGUCAGAACGCUCAGAAAAUAGUCAAAAUUUGGUUGGGGAGGUUUAAAAAACACAAAAAUUAAAAUUUGGCAGUAUUUCAUUGACUGAUGAUAGCCCUGUUGACAAAAAAAAUUCAAUUUGAGGAAGAAAAGUUCAAAAUUAGAUGUUGGUGGACUCAAUUAAAUUAUAUUGAAGGUUUAAUUGAAUUUAUGGAGGGUUUAAUUGUAAGAAAAAAUUGAUUUUGGAGUUAAUUUGGGCUUUAAUUGGAAGAAAUUAAAGUUCUAGGGUCAAAUUAUAAUUUUUGAGAAUUAAUUUGGUCAAAUCAGGGGCUUAAUUGCAUAAAUAUUGAAGUUUGAUGGCCAAUUAGGGACUUAAUUGAAGAAAUUCGAGACCAAGGACCAAACUGCAAAACGCGCGCACAUUGAAGGAUUGACUUGUAAUCUGGCGCUUUGGCGCCAGUUUUCAUUUAAAUGAAACGGCGCGUUUUAGGAAAAACGACGCCGUUUCAUGCAUUAAAAAAAAAAGAUGAAACGGUGUCGUUUUGAGGCGGCACUGUUUCUUCUUCUUCUUCCCCUGGACGUGCAGCAGGGGAAGAGAAGUUUUGUUUUCUUCCCCUUGUCUCUUCCUCCCACGUGCUUUUAAGCCAGAAUCAGACGCCACCCGCCUCAUGAUGAGAUGCCAGAGCAGCCGUGCCCCGCAAGCGACGCCUCCAUUGGCCACCUCGGCCGGCACCGCAGCAGUGCAGGAGACGUGCGCCCCAUGCAUGGGCAGCGAUGGGACGGGGCAGGGUCGACCCCGCUCCCCCUACCCCUAUAAAUAGUGACCCGAAAGGAAGAAAGAAAGGAGGAGAAAACGGCAGAAAACAGGGGAGGAGGGCCGAAGAAAAAAAAAACAGAGACAAUGAGAGAGUGGGGAGAAAGACAGAGACCGAGAGAGAGACAAUUGUUUUUUUGAGAGAGAAAGGGGAGGAUGAAAGGAAGGAAACCGCAGGUUAUUUUUUAGAGAAAAGAAGAGUGAAGAGAAAAGGAAUCAAAGGCAGCAGAAAAAAAAACAGGGGAGAACAGAGGAGGAAGAAGGAAGAAAAAAAAGAGGGAGAGAGGGGACCGGAGCAGCAACAGAGGAGGAAUCGAAACGAAAACAGAAAAAAAGAGACCACCGCCACCUUCAAACCCAGAAUUCCAGCAGCUGCCACCGCUCCUCUCAGCCGCUGCCACCGCCACCUUCAACCAAGAAUUCCAGCAGCUGCCACCGCUCUUCUCAGUAGCCGCCACCGAGAAUAGUCGCCAGCACCACCGUCAGCUCAGCCAUCCGAGAUCAGCGCCUCAGGUAAAUUCCCUUUCCCCCCUAGCCGCCGGUCCUAAUUCAUCUUCUUGCCUGCAGAACAUGCACUGUGCACGUUCUGCAUGCAAGAAGAAAAUAAUUAGUCGGUUACUGUGCAUGCGCACAGUGACCGGCUACAUGGGUUUCUUCCCUUCUCCAGUGGGCUGGAACAUCAGCCCAGCCCGCGCGGCUGGGCUGAGUCCCGCCCCUUUUUGUUUCGGGCUGGAACAUCAGCCCAGCCCACGCGGUUGGGCUGAGUCCAACCUUGUGGCUGGGCCAAUACAUGCCCAGCCCAGUCCAUUUCAUUUUAUUUCUUUUCUCCUUUUUGUUUUGUGUGUUUUUUUAUUAUCUAUAUAUAUUUUUUGAAAGUUGUGAUUUUCCCACGGAUUUUUCUACGUCAUUUCGACUAAUAUUGGUUUUUAUUUUUAUAUCUUAAAAAUACAAAUCCAGUAUUAAAAAAUACCCGGUUUUCAAAAAAAAAAAAAAAACCUUUGUUUUCAUGCAUAUGGCCAAGUCUUUCAAAGCUAAAAAUCAUAUUGUAUUUUUUAUACAAUAAAGAAAACUCAAAAAUAAUAAUAUUAUUUUAACAUGCAUUUUGGCUUUAAUAACCAGUUUAUUAAAAGUCAUAAGAACUUGGCCAAUAUUUCAAAAAAAAAAAUAUUUUUGUUUUGUUUUAUUGUCUGGGAUUACGAAUUUAUACGUAAAACGUAUUCCCGAUUUUAAAAAGGUAGUUCUUUUAUAGACAUUAGGCCGGUUAGAUUUUUACCCCAUAAGAUAAGAACCUCCUUACUGAGGAGGGCUUUUCUUGAACCCUAGACAGACCAACAUGAUAAGACCUUAGAUUUUUAUCAGACAAUAAAACAAUGCAGCUUACCUUAGGUAGGGCGUAUUUGGGGUGCUAAUACCUUCCCUUUACGCAACCAGUCUCCGUACCCAAUCUCUGAGACUAGUUAGGGUUCCUAGUGACCAAAAUACUAGGUGGCGACUCCCAUUCCAUUUUUCACCGCUAAGAGACAAAGAAUUUCUUGUCUCCCCAUAUUUACCAGAUAUAUAUCCAUACAUUGAGGGUGGACGAUCGCCGCUACUAUCCAAUUUAAACCAACAAACAGAAGUGGGGUAAGAGCCGAAGAGGAUGCCUGCUUAGGCCUUGGGAUUUGCCUUGUGUUAACCAAACUGGUCACGGUCACCAAGAAAAAAAGCUAAUGAGUGACAAUCAUCCAUCUAAAACAUUUCACCUAAAAUUUCAUGAAACUAGAUGGCUGUUGGAAAAUCUGUUAAAAUCAUAUUAAUUAAUGGACAUAUCCAAGUUAAAAAUGAAACGAUCGGGAAUAAUUACAUUACACAAAUCUCGGCCUCUCCAGGCUAUCCCUAUCGAAGUGUGAACUUACUCUGCAUUCGGCAAUGCUACCAUGGCCAUUUGGAGAGCUGCAAACCUGCAAAAUGAUGUAUAUUUAACCAUCAUAAUCGUUAGAAAAUGUUGGAUUGUCGAUGAAUAUUACGUGGCUUGGGUUGUCGAUGAAGACCAGCAGGAAGCAACAAGGUAGAAGGUCUCAGCAUUUGAGGCCAACUUCCACUCUUCCAUUAAACUUGUGGGCACAAAUCAGCAACAGGAACAUGAUAUUGUCAGAGUUCUAAUCAGAUUGAUAGAGUUCCUUUACUGUUUUAAGAAAAAUAGCAAAACAGGAAGUGGGCCAAGAGGAUACCUGCUUUGCUUAGGCCUUAGGACUUGCCUUGUGUUAACAGUCGGCAAAGGACACCAUUCACGUUCUUUUUUUUUUUUUAGUUUAAAGUGGCUGUCCGGGCCAACUUGAGCGCACCUCGACUAAUCCCACGGAUCCUGAAGUUAACGACCAUGUAAGCCUCCAGUGGCCAUCAUAUGAGCAACCACAGGGCUCGAACCUGAGACUACAGAGGGAGCAAACCUCUUGGUCCCAAUCUCUUACCACUGGGCCACCACCUAAAUGGUUACACCAUUCACGUUCUUAACUAUUGUUGUCGUUGAUAUCCUGCCACCAGCAAUCAUCUUUAUUUUUAGAUUUAAUUCAUUAUUUAUAAUGACUAAUAAAAAAGUGGAAGUUGCUUUAAACUUGGGCUUGAUUCAUUAAGAAUUAUAGCCCAUUAUUUUAUCUAUAAUGAUGAGAAUUAAUUUUGAUUAUUAUCGAAAUUAGUUUUUCAAUCUUUUAUCUUCAAAAAUUCACUAUAAAAAUAGAGGUGAAAGAAAAGUCUUGAACAAGUUUUUUUUUUUAAUUUUUACAUAUUUUUCUCAUCUUAUUUUUAGUGUUUUUCUUCUUUUUUUCAUGCUUUGGAUAUCAUCCCAAAUCUACAGCUAACGUUUACUUUGUUGAGAUAUAAUUGAGUCAUUUUACUUUUAUUAAAAGAUAUUGUUUAAAAGUGCAUCUAAAUUAAAAUGGUGUUAUUGAAAUCUUAGAAGACAUAUUGUAAAUAUCUUAGUUCUAUAGAGUGAGUAUCAAUUAAUUUUAAAGACAAAUAAUUCAUCUUUAACAACAACAAAAAUUUUAUUAUUUUAAAGUGCUUCAAUAAGUAAUUAUUUUUUUAUGUUUAAUUUAAAAAUAAAUAUUUUUAUUAUUGGAAUGCAUAUAAGGUAUUAAUUAUAAAUUUUGAAUAUAUAUUUAGUAUGCAUAAUAAAAUUUUAUUAUUAUAUUUCUGUUGAAAUUUAUCAUAAAUUUUUAUUUUAUAUAAUUAUGAUUUUAAACUUGUAUAAAUUCUGGGUUUUUUUUAAAUGUUUUGAAUUCCCUUUUAAUACAUUUAAAAAUUUUAAAAACAAUUAGAAAAGGAGAGACUUGACUCUGUUGAACAAAUAAAAGAUAAGAGAAGGGACAGAUUUUUCCGGGUUCUGCUUGUCAAUUAUUUGGGGUAUUGUGCAAGUUCACCCCGACAGCCUUUUCUGGAAAACAAAUUGAUUCGUUUGAGUGCGUGUGUGUGUGUAACACAAAAAAAGAAAGUAUCUCUAAUAUGAAAGUGUUUUUAAGUAUCAUAAUUUUUUAAUUAAAAAACAAAACGAUAUUCUUUAUGAUUAAUCAAAUAACAUAAAAAAAAAAAACAAAACAAAACAAAACCCAUGCUAAGCUGAAUAUAAGAUUUCAAGUUAAUUUCUAAUUACUCAAGAAAAUGAAGUGACUAUGCUAUAAAUGUGUUUUCAAGUAUCAUGAUUCUUUUAGUUGAGAAAUAAAAAAAUAUUGUUUAUGCUUGAUAAAAUAAAUUAAAAAUAAAUAAAAAGGUAAUAAAGCUAAUUUUUUUAGUAAAAACAAAAGAUAAAUGUAAAUAUAAAUAUUUUAUUUUAUAUGUUUUGAUUUAUUUUAUGUUAGAGGCUAAUUUGCGUUGUUAAUAAAAAAAUAGAUUUUGUUUUUAUAAUUAAACUAUUUAAAUAUAACUCAUUCAUAUAAAAUAUGAGAGGAAAAAAAUAAAAAAUUAAAUUUAAUAAUCUCUUUAAAUUAUUAUUAUGAAAUUAAAAAAAAUCAUUGUAAAAGAUCAGUAACCAUUAAAAAAAAUAAGAAAAACAAUUUAAAAAUAAAAGAGCCCAAACACAUUUACGCUUGGAAGGCCAAGCUUGCCGAUGCAGGCGGUAAUAUAAUAAGAAUAGCAGCAAGCACCAAAAAAGAGAAUUGGCCGAAAUAGGGUUAAAACACACACAAAGAACCAUAAAAUCUUAUUUUUAUUUCCAAAAUAUUAAUCUGCUAAGUUCUUCCUCCAUUAUAAAAGGUUUGCAAGUCUUUAUAUAAGCAUGAAACUUGAAUAAAAAGGCAAGAAGAAUCAAAAUCCUAAUCAUCUUUUCCCAACCCCUCAUCUUCUUCAUCUUUUCUCAAUCAUUGAUUCUCAACUUUCAUUCUCUCUUACAUGCAUGUCUUCUUCAAUUGUUCUUAUAAAGCAAAAGCUCAAUCCUUCAAUCUAAUCACAAUAAAUUUUAUUCACAUGUGUUCCGGAACCUCUUUGUAUUAAAGAAAAUUGUUCCAUCUCAUUUAAUAAAUUUAUGAACUCUGCUGUUUAUAAAGUUCCAUCAAAUUCAGAGAUUUUAAUAUAAAUUCAGAAAUCUCUAGUUCUUUUCUUUCAAGAUCAAAAGGUUGUUUCCUAUGCUCUUGCAUUUGGAAUGGGUUUAUGAUACUACAUAAGGAUCCAUGGUCACUUUCUUCCUGUCCUUGUUAAUGUAGGUCCUUUCGUUUUAAUUAACAAGUUAAUUCUAAAAUAUGUUUCUGCAUGUCCUCUAUCAUGAGCUUCUAAACUUCUCCCGAGAAGAACCUCUUAAUCCCUUCCUAUCAGACCAUGUCUGACUCUUCAUUGUCUUCCCACUAUUAGGGGUGAGCAAAAAAACCGGAAAACCGAUUAAACCGAGAAAACCGGAAAAAAAAAAAACCGAUUAAACCGAUUAAAUUUUUGAAAAAGCCGGCCGGUUCAGUUCGGUUUCGGUUUUAUAACCGAAAAAACCGAACCGAACCGAAACCGAAAAAAAACAGAGCAAAACCGAAAAAACCGAGCCAAACCGAGCCAAACCGAAAAAACCGAGAAAACCGAGAAAACCGAGCCAAACCGGUUUUUGCCCUAAAAAACCGAACCGAAUCGAAACCGGUCGGUUUGACCCGGUUUCGGUUCGGUUUCGGUUUUUUUUUCAAAAAAAAAAUAUUUCGGUUUGGUUACUUUUUUUGAUAAAAACCGAACCGAACCGAAAAUGAUCACCCCUACCCACUAUAGUUGUUUAACAGCAUAUAUUAAGCAAAAAUGACCUAGGAUUGUAACACAUAGCAAACAAUAACCUAGAAUCUUUGGGCUAUGAUACCAAUCAAUACAGGCAAAAGCAUGACAAGGAUAACAAAAAGUAUAUAAAAUAGAAAAUUGGUUGAAAUAGGGUUAAAACACAAAUAAUCCUAAAAUCUUUUUUUUUUAUUUCUAAAAUAUUAAUUUGAUUAUUUAUGCCUCUUUAGAAGGCUUACAUGUCUUUAUAUAGGCCAAAAACUGACCUUAACAAGGUAAAGAAAAUCAAAAUCCUAAAAUUAAAAAAAAAUAAAGAUAGCUAAUAAUAAAAAAAUUUAGAAAAAAAUAACAAAACUGAAUAAAACAAAAUCCUUAGAACCUAAUUUGAGGACAACCAUGUAGUAGAUGAAUCGAUAAAAAAUUAAGCCUGAUCCAACGAUAGGAUCAAAAGUUUUGGUCUCUUUUAGUCACUAUAUCAAUAUGGCAUAACCAAACAUUCUCUUGAGUUGUUGAUCCUUAAAAGCAUUUGUUAUGCCAUACACAUAGUUUAUUUAUGACAAAUGCCCGCCUAGUUAUGACAGAUCUCCAUAAAACUACUUGCAACCCUUAGUUUCUACUAGUCUAGCUAUAUCUCCCAUGUUUGGAAUUUUUUUUUUUGAGUUUUCCACUUUACUUCUUUUUUUUUUCUAAACAAUUGAUUGAUCAUCUACUGGAUUGUUUUUCAAUCACCUUUAGUCAUCAGAAAAACAUGGUUCAAGUUUGAACCAUCCAAACCUAUUUUCCUCCUUAUUUUCACUUGAAAACACUAUAAGAGUUUAAUAAAUCCAUUAAAACCCCCAAAACUCUUUAAUCAGUUCAAAAAAGUAAAAAUCAACUGAAUAAAAAAAAUUAAUAGACUUUUUUUGAAAUGAUUAUAGAAAAACAUCACUUUUAUUAAACUCUUCUCUAUAAUAUGAAUUAUUAAUACAAAUAUCGGUCCAAAAUAUUUUGAACCAAGCACUUUCUCUCUCUUAGAUAUUUUUUUAUAACCUUUUCUCUUCUCUCUCCAUAUCCAUGAACCAAAACAUGAAAAAAAUAAAGUUUUGGCAUCGAAACGUGAAUCACAAAAAUAACAGGGAUAAGAAGAUAAGAAAAAAAAACUUUAGGGAUUAAAUUGAAAAUUUUCAUGCAAAGAUCUAAAUGGGGUAUGUUUUAUUGUUCUUUGUCAAAUGUUAUCUUUUUUUUUUUUAAUUCCUAUCUUAGACCUGGAAUAUAUAAAAUGUGAUUUUACAAAACUGACAACCAACAAAUCUUCGACUACUGGAAAACAAAAGCAAUGUAAAAAAAAAAAUAUAUAUGGUAAUAUAACCUGUGAGGAUUGAAUUGUAAGUUUUAAAAGCUUGAUUAACAAAAAGGAAACUCGACUGCUCAAAUGAACAGGCGAGUCCACAAUGCAUUGCAUGGUGAGGCGUGCUAUAUAUACAACACACACACACACACACACACUCUCUUCAAUUUUUCUACCAAUAUAAUUCACUUUUCUUUUCACUUUGUAUGGACAUUCUAUUCGAGGAUUAAUCGUAUUAUUUGGACUAAUUACUCUUAAUUAAUGUGUUCCUAUGCUUUCUUCCUCAUUUCUCUCUCUAUUAAAAAACGAUUAUUAAUAUAAUUCUUCUAGCCAAUCUUUAUAAAAUUCACUAUUUUUUUUUAUGUAUUUACACCUGAAAUAAAUAUAUAAGUAUUAAUCAUAGAAAACAACGAUGGUUUAUGAUAAAAUUGAUCAAAAGAAAAACUGAAUAAAAAAAUCAAUCAAGCUGGAGAAGUUUUUGAUUGACUAAGAGAGUUGAAAUAUCAUUUGAUCAAGUAAUCAAAAAUCAUGAUCGAACUAAUUAAGAGAAAAUGAUCGAUGAAUAAAAUUUAAACAUGCGUGAUAAUUAAAAAAGAGUUUUAUUCAAAACGAAAAAUCAUAUGAUAUCAAAGAAGUUUAUUUUUUUAAUAAUGGUAAGUGUUUUCUUAGAAACGUGAAGAACAUUUAUACUGAUGCAGAAACGUUAAGAGCAUGUAUAUUGAUACGCAUGCCUCUGCCUGCAAUGAAGGCGGAUUCCCUUGCUAAUUGUUUCCCUAAGGAAGGGUAGACGUGUCAUUUCAUCCAAGGAUCCGGUCUAUAUUAGUGAUGGCGCAUAUUCAAUAUUGAUCGAUGAUUUCACAGCUUGGUCUGGUAAUUAUUUUUUGUCCAGAGAAGUUCAUUAUCUCAUGUUAUGUUCACCUGGUUUAAUUUCAAGCUUAAAAUUUGUUUUGGUUCACGUGCUACAUCCUAUUUAUAUAAAUAUGAUGUUAAACAACUAAUUUAAUUAAAAACAUUAAAAAAUAAGAAUCAAAUUUAAUUUAAAAGAAAAAAAUAGAACGAAUUUUUGCAAAAACUAUAAUGAGAGUAUAAUCAAAAGCUUAAUUUUUUUUAUUCAUGCAUUUCUAUUUUUUUAUGAAAAAGUGUUUUUUUAAUGAAAAGUAUUAUUUCAUAUGGCUACUUUUCAUGAAGAAGUUUCUAUUUCAGACCAUCGAUGAAGACCAGCAGGAAGCAACAAGGUAGAAAGUCUCAGCAUUUGAGGCCAUCUUCCACUCUUCCAUUAAACUUGUGGACACAAAUCAGCAACAGGAACAUGAUAUUCUCAGAGUUCUAAUCAGAUUGAUAGAGUUCCUUUACUGUUUCAAGAAAAUUAGCAAGUCAUUACUCUUGCAACGCCUAAAAUGUGUUUAUAUUUUUGACGUGAACCUUUAGGACUUCAUAGUUAGGUCUGAUUUAAUGAAUCUUACAGCUAGAUCAGAACUUUGAUUUUGUCGUGUUUUUUAAAAGUAAAAUUUAAUCUGGGACAAAAUUGUACAGAGGAGGAGCUGGCUUCGUAUGUUCAAGAUGACUCGAAACCGGAGAAUAUGGACGGAGAAUAUUUGAGGCCCUACUUCCAGUCUUCCAUUAAACUCGUGGACACAAAUCAGCAACAGGAACAUGUUAUUGUCAGAGUUCUAAUCAGAUUGAUAGAGUUCCUUUACUGUUUCAAGAAAAUUAGCAAGUCAUUACUCUUGCAACGCCUAAAAUGUGUUUAUAUUUUUGACGUGAACCUUUAGGACUUCAUAGUUAGGUCUGAUUUAAUGAAUCUUACAGCUAGAUCAGAACUUCGAUUUUGUCGUGUUUUUUAAAAGUAAAAUUUAAUCGAAAAUACAUUAAAUGAUAUUUUUUAAAAAAUAUUUUUUAUAUUAACAUAUAAAAAUUAUAAAUCAAUAUCUAAAAAUUUUUUUGCCUAAUAUUUUUAGAAAUUUUUAGUCAGAAUCACAUGCUAUUAUUUGUCUAAUAUUUUUUUAUCAAACAACAGUGAAUGAUUGAAAUAUCGGUGUGUAAAUUUUUUGAAUUUUAAAAAUUUAAUUUUGAAUUUAUAUUCACCUCAAAAACAAAGUUUUAAAAAAAUCCAUUUCAAACUCCAAAAAAAACCUAUAUAUGCAUGCCUCUAGCACAUUGUAGAGAGGAGAUAAAGAGAGGCCAUAAGAAAAUAUCAGCCAAUGGAGUACCUUUUUUACCUGCUACUAAUUUCUUUUUGUUGGGCAUGUCUACACGUGCUCAACGCAUCCGUUCUACUUCGCCGGAAGUCCGGUUGCACCGUCCUCCCACCUGGCCCUCGCCAAUUGCAGAUAAUUGGAAACAUAUUAGCCCUCGGUGACAAGCCCCACCGAACACUUGCUAAACUCUCACAAACUUAUGGACCUUUAAUGACCCUCAAGCUUGGUAGGAUAACCACAAUAGUCAUCUCCUCUCCGAAUAUUGCCAAAGAAGCAUUACAGAAACAUGACCAAGCCUUGUCUAGCAGAACAGUCCCAGAUGCUCUUCGUGUACACCACAGAAACUCAAUCUUAUGGUUGCCUGCGUCGACUCAUUGGAAAUUUCUCAGAAAACUCACUGCCACACAAAUGUUCACUUCGCAAAGGCUUGAUGCCAGCCAAGCCCUCCGUGGAAAGAAAGCUCAAGAAAUGCUAGAAUAUGUUCAUGAAAAUUGCAACAACGGACACGCUGUUGACAUUCGUCGAUCUGUUUUCACAACUUCCCUUAAUUUAAUUUCAAACACCUUCUUCUCUCUUGAUAUAGCCAAUUACAAUUCUGAUUUGUCUCAAGAAUUCAGCGAUCUCGUGGUUGGUGUCACGGAACAAAUUGGCAAGCCAAAUAUUGCCGACUAUUUCCCAAUACUUCGAUUAGUAGAUCCACAAGGUGUAAGACGAAAGACGAAUAAUUAUUUGAAAAGAUUAACUCAAAUUUUUGAUAGUAUCAUCAACGAGAGGACACGACCACGUUCUUCUUCGGUUGCAUCCAAGGCAAGCCAUGAUAUACUUGAUGCCCUGCUGAUUCUAGCCAAAGAAAACAAUACUGAAUUGAGCUCCACUGACAUACAGGUUUUGCUUAUUGUAAGUAUUGAGAUUAGAUUAUCUAAUUGAUAAUUAUGACCAAGUUUUUCUGCACACUAAACUUCAGUUCAGAAAUUAAUUGUCUUACGUGUUUACAUCAGGAUUUUUUCAUUGGGGGCACUGACACUACCUCAAGCACAGUAGAGUGGGCAAUGACAGAGUUAUUACUGAACCCUGAUAAAAUGGUCAAAGCCAAAAAUGAGCUCCAACAAGUCGAAGGACCAGUUCAAGAAUCAGACAUCUCCAAGUGUCCUUACCUUCAAGCAAUAGUCAAAGAGACAUUUCGGCUGCACCCACCAGUUCCACUCCUGCUGCCCCGUAAAGCCGUAUCCGAAGUAGAGAUGCAAGGCUUCACAGUGCCAAAAAAUGCUCAAAUACUAAUCAAUAUUUGGGCAAUAGGAAGAGAUCCAGCCAUAUGGCCAGAUCCUAAUUCGUUCAAGCCUGAAAGGUUCCUAGAAUGCCAAGCUGACGUGAAAGGAAGAGAUUUUGAGCUAAUUCCAUUUGGAGCAGGAAGAAGGAUUUGCCCUGGAUUGCCUUUGGGCCACAAGAUGGUGCAUUUGACGUUGGCAUCUCUCAUCCACUCUUUUGAUUGGAAGAUUGCUGAUGACUUGACACCAGAGGAUAUAGACAUGAGUGAAACGUUUGGGCUUACAUUACAUAAGAGUGAGCCUCUCCGGGCUAUACCCAUGAAAACGUGAACUUAUUUCUCUGCAAUGUUACCAUGGCCUCUGGGACGAGGUAUGAGAUAUUACGCUCUAUUCCCAUUGCUGGAUUUGGACAGGUACGCCUUGUAACUAACCGGGAGAACUGUUUCCCGAAAUUAGAAAUAUAAAAUAAAAAACAGAGCUGUCCAAAUUUUAGAUUUAAUGUAGAUUGGUGGUUUUAGAUGUCGAUCGUAUUGGUUGUAGUAAAGGCUCUAUUUGUGGGUUAUGCGUUGUUAAUUGGAUGAUAAUUCAUUGGUUGUAGUAAAGUUUUUGGGGUUUUUAUUUGUGGGUUAUGCGUUGUUAAUUGGAUGAUAAAUCAGCUAGCAACUUUUGAUGAUUUUCAAUUUUAAUGACAAGAAAAAAUUUCCGCCCCCCUGCCUUCACAUUUGUUUCUUUGGUAUGCCUGCCGCGGUAUAAUUUGGUAGAUGAAAGAGUAAAACCUAGUUAUACUUUUCGUAUUGGGCUUUUACUGUGAUACAGAAUUUCUAAGAACAUGAAAUUCAAACAUCACAGCGAGUCUGGGUAAAACAUGGUCUGGACGUCAUCAGUUUCGAAAUACAGUUUUUCUUUUGGCUUGGCGGGAUUCAUCCGCAGAUAUUGUUGGACGAAACUGCUGAAGCAACUGUGGAUGCAACCAUGGAAGAUGCUGAUUUAUUUAUCUGCACGUGGGUCAGGGAGCUCAUCGUCAGCCCUGUCCUCAAACACGUAAUCGACCACGAUGUCGCAUCAGUUCAAACUGUAUUGUUUUAUGUUUAGAGAAAAAUGAAAAAAUGGAAAUCAUUUUCAAAUCAAACCAGUUCUAGGAUAGUCUUUACACAUUUGAACACUUUUGAAUUAUCAUGAAAAAACUUGGUGACACUUUUCUGAUUUCUUCUAGAUUUAAUGGCUUCCAUUUCUUUCUGAAGUAACACCAUCAUGAUGCAAAAGAUUUGUUUCUCAAUUAUCGUUAAUUGAGAAAAAGCUCAUUCCUGGAAUACCUAUAUUAUCACUAUGGAACCACAUUUUGAAAAUGUAUCUACAAUCGACUUGGCAAUACCUGUAUCAAACACCUUAAACCAUGUUUUCUUUGUAUAUCCAUGGAUCAAGCUGCAAACUUGAUUUCCUUAUAGUCGAAUUUGUAGGCCAUCCAUCUUCCGAUUCUUCUUCGAUUAUGAAGUACCAAACCCAACUUCUUUUUACUUGAAGCAAAAAGGACUGGCUUUUUUCUUUUUAAGGUUCAACUGGCUUCUAGAAAAGGAAAAGCACUGGGAAGAGCAGCCUAUGCAGGUGAGGGCAAUCAAGGCUUUAGGAAAAGGGUUUGAUUUGAGUAGUGAUUUCGGAUUGAAAUUUGAAAAAAUAAUGAGCAGUAAUAACGAAAGGCUGGUGCUUUUGGAUGAGAAUAACAGAAGGAAGGUUGUGUUUCUGAGGGCCCUACUGUUUCCAAGUAACUAAAUUUAUCUCAGGCAUUUCAUCAAAUAGAAGCAUAGCAUCACCUGAAACCCCCAUUUAAAAGAGCAGUUUGUACAUAAACAUGACAUUAAAAACCCACUUUGAAUGUGAGACCAUGAAGAAAAUCACCAGCUAGUGGUGGUGGUGGAGGCUUUGUUGAUGGUGGUGGUGGAAUGUCCUUAACAAAACUAACUUCCCAACUGACUAUAGCCACCUAACUAACUAACAAUCACGUGUGAAAAUAAAAAAUCCAAAUAACUAACUGCAUUAGUUGUUGCCGCUAGUUCUAGCUUUCUGUCUUCAAUACAAGAAUUCGUGCUAAAAUCUAGAAAUUGCUCAUUCAAUUCUUUCGAACCUUCCCCUGUUGCAUCCUCUUGAAACAGAUGGAACCAUUUGACCAGUCCCAUUACCACAUCUUUAUUACCCGUCUUCAUGAUUUUUCUAUCCAAAAUUGCCACUAGUUGCACCUUGAAACGACCAUGCUCAUCCAUCCUUGGUAAUUCUAUAGCCACUACAGCACUACCUCCCACCUUUUUCUUAAGAAAUGAGACACGAAACACUGGCAAUUAUAGCUUGUAGGCUAUUGGCCCAACCUUUUGUAUAAUUAUAAAAGGGCUAUGAAACCUGGGAUUCAGCUUGAUGCUCCUUAAAGCUACACCUGUUUGUCUAUAAGGUUGUAGCUUAAGAAAUACUUGGUCUCUUAGUUGAAAUUCCCUUUCGAACCUGUUUUUGUCUGUGAUCUGUUUCAUUCUAUGUUUGGCUGCCUCAAGCUGAGUCUUUAACACUUGAUCCAUGUCGAAUCUUUGUUGAGUCAUAUCUUUCAUAACAGCUACUACAGUAACUUCUUGUGCAAUUAGCUCUCUUCUGGGAGGAUGAUAGCCAUACAAGGCUUUGAUUAAUGGACUCAUCCUUAUAGAAUAAUGAUAACAUAAAUUGCACCACCGUUAAGCUAAUCAUAGCCAAUAAAUUCAUUUCUUAGGAUUAUGCAUAGUCAUGUAUCUCAAGUAAAUCUUCAAACACUGAUUGACUUGCUCAGAUUGGCCAUUAGUUUGAGGAUGAUAAGAGAAGCUUAUUAGCAGCUUGACCCCUGGUAGUAUAAACAAUUCUUUACAAAAUAAACUUGUGAAAAUCAUAUCUCUAUCAAUAACAAUAAAAGUUAAUAAUCCAUGGAACUUAUAGAAAUGAUCCAAAAAUAGUUGAGUAACAUCCUGAGCUGUGAAAGGAUGUUUAAGAGUAAUAAAUGCCCAUGCUUGAUGAAUUUGUCAAUGAUCACCAAUAUGGUAACCUUCCUUUGUGAUUAUGGAAAUCCCUCUAUAAAAUCCAUUGCAAUGUUUCUUCAUGUGCCUUCUAGAGGUGGUAAAGGCUGCAGAAGUCCAGGAUAGGCUACCCAUUCUAGUUUAGCUUGAUUACAUAUAACACACUUAUUCACGUUCUUUUUAACUAGAGUUUUCAUGGAAGGCCAAUAGAACAUAGUUCUCAGUCUUUCAUAAGAAUUUUAUAUGCCAGCAUGCCCUCCAAUAUACAAAUAAUGUGCAGCAUUAACCAUUCUUUCCAUUAAAUUCUCUUCCCAAUCACUAUCCUAUGCUUAUACCUUGAUACGCCUUCUGUGAAUAUAUAGUCUAACCAAUUAUGAUUAUUCAACAUCUUGUCAGACAUAAUCCUCUACAAUUAUUGAUCAUUUCCAUAAGAUUCUUUGACCUCUUCAUACCAUGCUGGUAUUAGUGCUGAGAUUGCCCUUAGAAUUCUAGAAUCCUUGUCAACCUCCCCAUCCAUAGCUUAUAAUUUUUUUUCCUCCAAUAGAUAUGGAUAAAACAUCAGCCACAACAUUCUCUUUUCCUUUUCUAAACAGAAUUUGAUACCUCAACCUCAGUAAUUUAGUCAGCCCUUUCUUUUGCAACUGAAUAUAGAUUUUCUAUUCCAUCAAAUAUUUUAAACUCUCAUGGUUAGUUUAGAUGAUGAACUGAUCAUUUUCCAAAUAAUCCAUCCAUUUGUCCACAGCCAUCAAUAUUGCGCCAUUUUUUGCUAAAAAAGGCUAGUGGUCAUCCUUUCUUGAUGAGGAUUGCUCCAAGUCCAAUUAAGCAUGCAUCAAUUUCCAACACAAAUGCAUAUUUAAAAUUUGGUAGUGUCAAAAUAGGAGUCUUGCACAAUAUUUCUUAUAAAAAUUCUUGUUCUACCGUAUCCGUUGCUUUUGAAUAUCAACCUUAAUUCCUUGCAAUUCCUGAUGAAUUUCUUGUAUUUUUUCAUCAGUUAUUCGACUAUGUCCUUCCAAUGCUCUUACUUUGUUGUUUUCCACCGUUGUCUACUAUUAAAUGAUGAAAUAAUGUAUUUAAGAAUGGAGGUUGAAGAAUAAAAAAGAAAGAAAUAAGGAGAGAGAAAACUAUAAAGCUACAGAAAUAAUGACAAUCUUUUAUUACUUGAUCAUCAUGUUUCUUACAAUUCUUCCUUUAUACAAUUCCAUUUCAACUAACUACCCAUUAACUAAAAAAACUAAUUGUCAACUAACUUCCCAGAUGACUAUAACUACAUAACUAACUUACAAUCACGUGUGAAAAUCAGAAAUCCAAAUAAAAAGUUCUUGGUAAAUGGUAAGGGCAUUUUUUGUUGCACUAUUUAUAUAUCUAUACUGAAGGUAUACAUUGAAGCUCUUGGUGGUUGGCUAUCCAAGUUUUCUUCUCCAAAAGUUAAAUCUUACUUUAGUGGCAACUCUUUAAUCUUCCUUAUAGAAUAAAUCGACCACUAUUGCUAGUAAUUGUCAUGACUGGUUAGUGUCGUGAUGUGCACGACGUCAAAUGAUGGGUUUUUCUGCUAGAUUGAAGGGUUUUAGGAUUAAUUAUAAAAUUAUGAUUUUCAAGGAGUCGCCACCUUGUAUCAUGGUCACUAGAAAACUUAAUGGUCUGCGAGAGUUUGGGUAAAGGGACUAAUUGUGCAAGGGAAAAACAUAUUACCCCCAGUGAACCAUACCUAUGGUAAGUUGCAUUAUUGAUUGGUCCUUUUGCUAGGUCGUGUUUAUAUUCGUUUGUAUUUUCUAAGAUUCAAGGAAAAUCUCUUUUCGUGAGGAAGUCUGUGUCUUAUCGAGUUAAAUCUUAAAUGUUCUAAGGCCCAAAUCUUAGCAUCACAUUUAUUUUCUAAUUUGUAUCCUUAAUAACUGAAGAUAUACUUUACAGUGUAAUUUUAUACUCUCAAAUAAUAAAGUCUAUAGCUAAUUCCUAAUAUUUAUUUUUUUAAUUCAUUUAAUUUAAUACCGAGUGUAUGCAUUACGUUGUAAAAUUCAUACCCUGAAUAUUAAUUAAACAAAUUAAUUUUAGUGAUAUUUUUGAAAUUUUGGUCAAAUCCUAAUAGAUAAUCAUAAUCUGGUUAUGAUAUCCAUUUUUUAUUUUUAAAACAUGAUAAAAAUGCAAUUUUUUUAAUAAAAUAUGCAUGGAAAUGUUUUUGAAUUUGGUUGUAUACACACAAAUAAAAAAACAUAUAUUUUUUUAAAUAAUGAAUUUUGGAUUUCUUUUUUGAGUUAAAAUGAAAACAUGAUUUUUUUAAGAGAUACUUGGCCAUACUAAAAAAAACAAAUUGAUAAUUUUUGUCCUAACAGCUCAAUCAAUCCUAAAUCAUCAUCGAACAUUCCCAAAACCAUAUGCACAAUGAAUAUUUUAUCCCAGAAACUAACAAUUUAUCAAAUAAAUGGUUUGGGGUGGAAUCGACCUUCCAAGGUUGUUGUGGUUGUCUAGGAACCAUUGGAAACCUUCCAAGGCUGCUAGGUAUUCUUGGCAGCGCGUGGAACCACGCACCACCACUGCCAAAACAUGGAAACAUGCGCUGUUUCUGGUAAAGGAGGAGCACCUAGUGAAUUUAAAACUCCUUUAUCUCCUCUUUGAUUCCUCACUAACGGUGCAACAAACAGACACCUGUAGACGGAGCUCCGCUCUAUUAAAGUUUCAGUCUUCUUCUUGUUUUUCAGUCCAGAUCUGUCCCUUCUCUCUAUUGCUGUGUUUUAAUGAUGAUACUAGCGGGAGAUAAUUUUAAAAUGUUUGAAACUACUAUAUACCCUCUUUGACACCCCACUAGCAUAUCCACAAACAGAUCUCUGUAAAGGAAGCUCUGCUACGUUGAAGUUCAAUGUAUGCUCUUGUUUUUCAGCCUAGGUAUGUCUUUUCUCCCCUACUAAUGCAUUUUAGUGAUGCUACUAGUAGGAGAAAGUUUUACAACGUCUGAAACUACUACAUCCUUUCUUAGAUUCCCCACUAGUAGUGUCAUAAAUAGAUCUCUGUAGAGUAGUGUCAUAAAUAGAUCUUUGUAGAGGGAAUUCUGCUAUGUUGAAUUUUGAUGUCUACUCUUAUUUUUUCUUCACAGUUGGUUGCUACUUCCACUGCUUGUAAGGGCUGUUUUGAGAUGAUUUUAGGGUUGUCUUGGGGUGACUUGGAAAUGGAAUAUUCUGGUAUGGAAAAUGGUUGCUUAAAUGGUGUUUUAGUGGUUAAGGCUUUAUAUGAUUUGGGGUCUGUUUUAAGGUGUUUUGAUUGGAGUUUUCAUGUCUGGGAGGUCUGUUAAGGGAGUGUUCAUCUCUGUCCAGGCUGCUUGGGUUAAGGUUUUGUGUUGCUUUUAUAGGAUCAAUGGGGAGGCUCUGGGACUUAUGAAUUAAUGAAAUAUCGACCCUUAAUGUUGGAGAAUAUGUCUCAUUCUGAAGCUAAGGAUAAAUGUUUGUCCUGCUGUGCAACUCAAAAAAGGAGGACCGAGGCUAUUUUUGCAGUCAAGACAGUGUUGGGUCUGUUUUUGAGAGAGAAUCUGGAGUUGUUUAUAGUGACUUUAAAGCUGGAAUUUUGGCUAAGAGUGAAGUACAAAUAAUACCAGGGUAUAAGUUGACAUAAACUUUGUCUGGUAUGGUGUGUGAGGACAGUAAGAUUUACACAGAACAGGAAUAGAGUUGAAGAAAAGCAGAGAGUGAUUCUGUUAAAUAGAGAAGAAGAAGAAGAACAACUUUAGCACUAAUUCUUUUAUUAAUUGAUUACAGUUCUCUUAUCUGACAUAUGUUUAUAUAUGUUAUCGUAGAAAGGUUAUCUAUUCUCUCUUUAUUUGCACUGAAACAAUGCUAACUAAUUCUCUUAACCGACAAACAAUACUAACAGCAUUCUAACAAUAUCAUUCUCUAAUCUUUUGACACUUUGGAGGAUUAGAGUCUUUGAUAUCUUUACAUGGUGAAGGAGUGGGAUAAAAAUUAGAGCUGAAAAGCGAGAACUCGAUCAUCUUUUUCUCUUGUUUUAAUAGGAAGAAAACAAUGAAUAGUGAAAUUAUAUUAUUUUUUUAAUUUGGUCCCUAAGCCUUUAGAACUUUCCAGUGGAACUCCCAAUCAGCCCUAAUUUUUUAGAUUCCUUACAAUUCCACCCUUGACCUUAUUUGAUUGAACCCUUAAAUUUAUGCUCUUUUUAUAAAGUGAUCCUUGAUUUUGAAACUCUUCAAUUUUACCCUCAAUUGACCUUCAAACUUCUAAUUUCUUGCAAUUUUAUCCCUGAUCUCAUCCAAUUAAGCUUGGAAAAAUUAAACUAUCUCUAAUACAAUUUUAAAGUGAAUUUUUGUGUUUCCAAUACAGGAGUCGGUUCUUGUUCGCAAUAACAUCGUUAAUCUUCCGAGCUUCCUUCCUGGGGCUGCUCUUCCCUACAUAGAGCAUUUCUAACUGUAUUCUGGCAUCUUUCGCAACUGCUUUUGCAGUCGCAGUGAAUUUACGGAUCCACUCGAUAUCCUCCCUACCAUACAAGCAUAUGAACUUCCCUUGCUCUAUCUGCAUUAGGAAUUAAUUAGUUGAAAACUUCAUGAGUAAUGUGUGUAUGAGAUUCCUAUGCACCUUUCAGCUUGUUGUUUAGUUUAUAAACCCGUUUCAAGUUUGGAAAUUUGAAUUCCUCUGCUGUCAAAUGUAUGCAUUAGAUGAUGUCGAUAGAGAAUUGAGAUGAAGAGUGUUGGGGUUGACUACUUUCCCUUGUGGGUCCAAGACCUCUCCAGGCUAUCCCUAUCGAAGUGUGAACUUACUCUGCAUUCGGCAAGGCUACCAUGGCCAUUUGGAGAGCUACAAACCUGCACAAGGAUGUAUAUUUAACCAUAAUAAUCGUUAGAAAAUGUUGGGUGGAAUUGAUAUUGUUAAUGUCAUCUAUCCCUUUUACAAUUGUCAAUGGCAUUGAUUAGGUAAAUUCUUCCGUGCCUUGUCAAAAUAAGACAUUGAAAAUUGACGAAAAUCGUGGAACAUAUGGCUACUUUUCAUGAAUAUCACGUGGCUUGGAUUGUCGAUGAAGACCAGCAGGAAGCAACAAGGUAGAAGGACUCAGCAUUUGAGGCCAACUUCCACUCUUCCAUUAAACUUGUGGGCACAAAUCAGCAACAGGAACAUGAUAUUGUCAGAGUUCUAAUCAGAUUGAUAGAGUUCCUUUACUGUUUUAAGAAAAAUAGGAAAACAGGAAGUGGGCCAAGAGGAUACCUGCUUUGCUUAGGCCUUAGGACUUGCCUUGUGUUAACAGUCGGCAAAGGACACCAUUCACGUUCUUAACUGUUGUUGUCGUUGAUAUCCUGCCAACAGCAAUCAUCUUUAUUUUUAGAUUUAAUUCAUUAUUUAUAAUGACUAAUAAAAAAGUGGAAGUUGCUUUAAACUUGGGCUUGAUUCAUUAAGAAUUAUAGCCCAUUAUUUUAUCUACAAUGAUGAGAAUUAAUUUUGAUUAUUAUCAAAAUUAGUUUUUCAAUUUUUUAUCUUCAAAAAUUCAUUAUAAAAAUAGAGGUGAAGGAAAAGUCUUGAACAAGUUCUUUUUUUUAAUUUUUACAUUUUUUUUCAUCUUAUUUUUAGUGUUUUUCUUCUUUUUUCAUGCUUUGGAUAUCAUCCCAAAUCUACACCUAACGUUUACUUUGUUGAGAUAUAAUUGAGUCAUUUUACUUUUAUUAAAAGAUAUUAUUUAAAAGUGCAUCUAAAUUAAAGUGAUGUUAUUGAAAUCUUAGAAGACAUAUUGUAAAUAUUUUAGUUCUAUAGAGUGAGUAUCAAUUAAUUUUAAAGACAAAUAAUUCAUCUUUAACAACAACAAAAAUUUUAUUAUUUUAAAAUGCUUCAAUAAGUAAAAAAAAAUUUAUGUUUAAUUUAAAAAUAAAUAUUUUUAUUAUUGGAAUGCAUAUAAGGACUUUAAUUUGAUAUUAAUUAUAAAUUUGAAUAUAUAUUUAGUAUGCAUACUAAAAUUUUAUUAUUAUAUUUCUGUUGAAAUUUAUCAUAAAUUUUUAUUUUAUAUAAUUAUGAUUUUAAACUUGUAUAAAUUCUGGGUUUUUUUUAAAUGUUUUGAAUUCCCUUUUAAUACAUUUAAAAAUUUUAAAAACAAUUAGAAAAGGAGAGACUUGACUCUGUUGAAAAAAUAAAAGAAAAGAGAAGGGACAGAUUUUUCCGGGUUCUGCUUGUCAAUUAAUUGGGGUAAUGUGCAAGUUCACCCCCGACAGCCUUUUCUGGAAAACAAAUUGAUUCGUUUGGGUGGUACACGGUGUGUGUGCAUGAAAGAAAGCAUCUCUGAUAUGAAAGUGUUUUUUAAGUAUCAUAAUUUUUUUAAUUAAAAAACAAAACGAUAUUCUUUAUGAUUAAUCAAAUAACAUUAAAAAAAAUAAAUGAAAGCCAUGCUAAGCUAGAUUUAAGAUUUCAAGUUAAUUUCUAACUCAAUAAAAUGAAGUGACUAUGCUAUAAAUAUGUUUUCAAGCAUCAUAAUUCUUUUUAGUUGACAAAUAAAAAAAUAUUGCUUAUGCUUGAUAAAAUAAAUUAAAAAUAAAUAAAAAAGGUGAUAAAGCUAUUUUCUUUAGUAAAAACAAAAGAUAAAUGUAAAUAUAAAUAUAAAUGUUUUAUUUUACAUGUUUUGAUUUAUUUUAUGUUAGAGGCUAAUUCAUGUUGUUAAUAAAAGAAAACAGAUUUUGAUUUUAUAAUUACGAUAUUAAAAUAUAACUCAUUUAUAUAAAAUAUAAGAGGAAAAAAAUUAGAAAUAAAAUAUAAUAAUUUCUUUAAAGCAUUAUGAAAUUAAAAAAAAUCAUUUUAAAAUAUCAGUAACUAUUAAAAAAAAGAGUUAAGAAAAACAAUUUAAAAAAUAAAAGAGAGGGUAUUAAUCAAUAUUUAAGUAGAAAAAAUUAAUGAAAAGAAAAGGAAAAGAAAGAGAGGCAGCCCCACGCACAUGACUGACCAAUAAAGAGCCCAAACACAUCUACGCCUGGAAGGCCAAGCUUGCUGAUACAGGCGGUAGCACGAUAAGAAUAGCAGCAAGCACCAAAAAAGAGAGUUAGCUGAAGUAGGGUUAAAACAAAAAGAACCAUAAAAUCUUAUUUUUAUUUCCAAAAUAUUAAUCUGAUAAGUUCUUUCCUCCAUUAUAAAAGGUUUGCAAGUCUUUACAUAAGCCUAAAACUGCAAUAAAAAGGUAGAAAGAAUCAGAAUCUUAAUCAUCUUUUCCCAACCCCUCGUCUUCUUCAUCUUUUCUUAAUCAUUGAUUCUCAACUUUUAUUAUAUCUUACAUGUCCUCUUUAAUUGUUCCCAUCAAGGAGAAGCUCGAUCCUUCAAUGUAAUCACAAUUAAUUUUAUUCACAUCUGUUCGGAACCUCUUUGUAUUAAAAAAAAUUGUUCCAUCUCAUUCAAUAAAUUUAUGAACUCUACUGCUUAUAAAGUUCUAUCAAAUUCAGAGAUUUUAAUAUAAAUAUUCAGAAAUCUCUAGUUCCUUUCAAGAUCAAAAGGUUGUUUCCUAUACUCUUGCAAUUGGAAUGGGUUUAUGAUACUACAUAAGGAUUCAUGGUCACUUUCUUCAUGUCCUUGUUUCUAUAUGUCUCUUUGUUUUAACUAACAAGUUAAUUCUAAAAUCUAUCUCUACAUGUCUUCUAUCAUGAGCUUCUAAACUUCUCCCGAGAAGAACCUUUUAAUCCCUUCCUAUCAGACCAUGUCUCACUCUUCGUCGUCUUCCCAUUAUGGUUGUUUAGCAGCAUAUAUUAAGCAAAAAUGACCUAAGAUUGCAACAUAUAGCAAACAAUAACCUAGAAUCAUUGGGCUAUAAUACCAACUAAUGCAGGCAAAAGCACGACAAGGAUAACAACAAGCAUAUAAAAUAGAAAAUUGGUUGAAAUAGGGUUAAAACACAAAUAACCCUAAAAUCCUUUUUUUAUAUUUCUAAAAUAUUAAUUUGAUGGUUUAUGCCUCUUUAGGAGGCUUACAUGUCUUUAUACUGGCCAAAAACUGACCUUAAUAAGGUAGAGAAAAUCAAAAUCCUGAAAUAAAAAAAUAAAGAUAGCUAAUAAAUAUAACAUUUAGAAAAAAAAUAGCAAAACUGAAUAAAAACAAAAUCUUUAAAGCCUAAUUUGAGGAAAAUUGUGUAGUGGAUGAACCGAUAAAAAUUUGAGCAUGAUCCAAUAGUAGGAUCAAAAGAUAUGAUCUCUUUUAGCCACUAUACCAGUAUGGCAUGACCAAACCUCCUCUUGAGCCACUGAUCUUUAAAAGCAUUUGUUAAGCCAUACAUAUAGUUUGUUUAUGAAAAAUACCUACCUAGUUAUGACAAGUCUCCAUAAGACUACUCAGAACCCUUAGUUUUUGCUAGUCCAGCUACAUCUCCCAUGUUUGGAAUAUUUGUUUUGGAGUUUUCCACUUUACUUUUUUCUUUCUUUCUAAACAAGCGACUGGUUAUCUACUGGACUGUUUUCCAAUCACCUUUGGUCAUCACAAAAACAUGGUUCGAGUUUUUUACCCAUCCAAACCUAUUUUCCUCCUCAUUUUCACUUGAAAACACUAUAAAAGUUUAAUAAACUCAUUAGAACCCCAAAAACUCUCCAAUCAGUUCAAAAAAGUAAAAAUCAACUUAAUAAAAAAGAAUUAAUAGACUCUUUUUUUGGAAUGGUUUUAGAAAAACAUUACUUUCAUUAAACUUUUCUCGAUAAUAUGAACUCAGCCUUUUUAGUAGCCAAAAUAUUUUUAACCACGCACUUUCUCUCUCCUAGAUUUUUUUUUAUAACCUUUUCUCUUCUCUCUCUAUAUCCAUGAACCAAAACAUGAAAAAAAAAAUGAAGUUUGGCAUCGAAACAUGAAUCACAAAAAUAAUAGGGAUAAGAAGAUAAAAAAAAACUUCAGGGAUUAAAUUGAAAGUUUUCAUGCAAAGAUCUAAAUGGGGCAUGUCUUAUUGUUCUUUGUCAAAUGUUAUCUUUUUUUUAAUUCCUAUCUAAAACCUGGAAUAAAAUGUGAUUUUACAAAACCAACAACCAACAAAUCUUCGAAUACUGGAGAACAAAAAAAAUGUAAAAAAAAUGGUAACAUAACCUAUGAGGAUUGAAUUGUAAGUUUCAAAAGCUUGAUCAACAAAAAAAAAACUCGAUUGUUCAAAUGAACAGGCGAGUCCACAAUGCAUUGCAUUGUGAGGUGUGCUAAUACACACACACUCUUCUUUCCCUCAAUUGGCUUUGGAACAUUGAAAUGAUAUGCUUCAAUUUUCUACCAAUAAUUCACUUUGUAUGGACAAUCUAUUCGAGGAUUAAUCGUAUUAUUUGGACUAAUUACUCUUAAUUAAUGUGUUCUGCGAUGUUUUUUUCCUGAUUUGUCUCUCUAUUAAAAAAUAAUUAUUUCCAUAAAGCCUUCGGCCUAGUCUUUUGGGAUUACCUAGAAGAUAUCAUGGGUUAUAUAGGGUUUGGCAGAAAAUGGAGAAGCAUGAUUUAUGAACGUCUUUCUUCAUCCAAACUCUCUGUUCUCAUCAAUGGAUCUCCUUCAAAAGAAUUCCUUGUUCGGCGAGGGUUGCGUCAAGGAGAUCCGAUUUCCCCCUUUCUGUUUGACAUAGUUGCUUAGGGCCUCUCGGUCCUUUUUCAAAAGGCAUCUAGGGGGAACAUUCUCAAAGGGUUGCAGUUCGUAUCAGAAAUUUUCCUCAUCCACUUGUAAUAUGCAGAUGACACGCUAAUAUUCAUCCCGGCAGAUAUUGAUCAGUUAGUUCAAGUCAAAAGAAUUCUCAGAUUGUUUGCUCUGAGUUCAGGCUUAUCAAUGUCGUUGAUCACUUGUGCUUGUGUUUGGGUACGUCUAUUUUUUGCAGAUCAGACUCCCUUCCAAGCAAAUAUCUCUGCAUGCCACUAAGAGCCAAUCUAUCUCGUAUAUCCACAUGGAAGCCAGUGAUAGAGAAGUUUUGUAAAAGGCUUCAUGUGUGGAAAGAGAGAUUAUUAAGCAUGGUUGGACGUCUUUGUCUCAUUAAAAGUGUCCUUAAGUCCCUGCCUAUAUAUUUUAUGUUUGUAUUCAAGAUGCUGAAAAGGGUAGGCAGGCUUUUUUUAUCCAUCCAAAGACGUUUCUUGUGGUGCGGAUGUACCAAGCAGAGAUCUUUCUGCAAGAUCCAAUGGAGACUAGUGAUGCGCAAUAAGAAACAAGGAGGCCUCGGUGUAGGCUCUUUUAUAUCAAAAAACAGAGUCCUGCAGCUAAAAUGGAUUUGGAGACUCUCUUCCCUAGGUAUAAGUUUAUGAAAAAUGAUUAUCUCUUUGAUGUACAAUCCAGCUUAUAAGAAUGGGAUCUUGAUUUUCUGCAACUAACCCUCCAAGAUCUGGAAGGAUAUCAUGUCCAUUGUUCAAACCGAUGUUCUCCACGUCUUCAUGAAUCAUUGCAAAUUCAUGGUGGGGAAUGGCAGUUUAACAUCCUUUUGGUUAGACAACUAGAUUAGUAACUACCCUCUUAAAACAACCUUCCCCAGGCUUUAUCUUUUGCUUCCUCUAAAUCUGCUUUGGUGGCUGACAUGGGUAGAUAAAGCAAUAGAAUCUGGCUCUAGUCCCUGCAAUGGCGCAAACCUCUAUUUCAUUUUGAACAAGAAUAAUUAUCACUUCUAUCAUCCUUGCUGGAUUCCAAACCUUUGUUCUACCGUAAGCUGGAUAAGAAAAUCCGGACUCUCAACAACGAUGGCCUCUUCAGUGUAAAAUCUUACUCCAAAAUGAUGGACUAGCUGCUCUACGGUGGUGCCAAACCAUUCCAAUCUUCUGUUUAGAUAAAGUUAACCCCACUAAAAAUACAACUUUUCCUUUAGCUCCUUGUCUAAGACAAAGUAACCACAAGAGAUUUUCUAUUUCAGCAUGACUACCUCACCUUUCAGAAAUCAAGAUGCGCUUUUCGCAAUAAAAGCAUGAAUCUCCUAGUCACCUCUUCAUUCAUUUACCACUUCACUUGGAAUAUUCCAACCAUAAAUUAAAAAAAAAUCAAUCAAGCUGGAGAAGUUUUUUAUUAACUAAGAGAGUUGAAAUAACAUUUGAUCAAGUACCUAAGAGAAAAUAAUGGAUGAAUAAAUUUUAAACAUGCGUGGAUAAUUAAAAGAGACAGUUUUAUUCAAAACGAAAAAUCAUAUGAUAUCAUAGAAGUUUAGUUUAUUUUUUUAAUAAUGGUAAAUGUUUUCUUAAAAACGUGAAGAACAUUUAUACUGAUGCAGAAACGUGAAGAGCAUGUAUAUUGAUAUGCAUGCCUCUGCCUGCAUUGGAGGCGGAUUCCAUUGCUAAUUGUUUCCCUAAGGAAGGGUAGACGUGUCAUUUCAUCCAAGGAUCCGGUCGAUAUUAGUGAUAGUACAUAUUCAAUAUUGAUCGAUGAUUUCACAGCUUGGUCUGGUAAUUAUUUUUUGUCCAGAGAAGUUCAUUAUCUCAUGUUAUGUUCACAUGGUUUCAAGCUUAAAAUUUGUUUUGGUUCACGUGCUACAUCCUAUUUAUUUCUGAUGUCAAAAAAUUAAUUUAAUUAAAAAUUAAGAAUCAAAUUUAAUUUAAAAGAAAAAAAUAGAAUGAAUUUUUUCAAAAACUAUAAUGAAAACGUGCUUUUUUUAAUGAAAAGUAUUAUGUUUAAAAUAAAAAUUUAUUAUGAUUGUGAAAGCUAGUUUGAUUUUAAAAAAAUUGAAUAUAUUAUUUUUACUACCUAUAUGAAAAAGAUUUAAGAACAAUAAAUCUAAGAAAAUAAAAAAAAUAAAAAAAAAUAAUUAUUUUAUCCUUAUUAAAUAUCAACGAGUAAAUUAUUUUAAAAAUAUUUCAUAUAGGAUAAUACAUAAUUAUUUAUAAAGCAAUUGACAAUAUCAUCAUAGAAAAAACCCUAAUCUUCUUUAAAACAAUGACAAAAUUGGAUAACCAUUUAAAUGUUAUAUUAAUAAAUUGAUUUAAAGAGAUUUUUUUAUUAAAAAUAGAAAAAAAUAAAAUACAUUAUUCUUAUUAUUAUUAUUAUGAUUAUUAGUGUUAUUCUUAUUCUUAAUAUUGUUAUUAAUUUUAUUAUUAUUAAAUUUGAAAAAAAAAAUAUUACUAUUGAAAAAAAAACCAUAAUUUUAAUAAGAACUUGAGUCAUGCAAAUUUAAUAUUAUUAUUAUUAUUAUUAUUAUUAUUAUUAUUAUUAUUAUUAGGGGAACCAGACCUCAGAAACUAGAGUCUCUGGCUGGGGCACCAGACCCAAGUUUAUAAUCAUUAGUAUUAUUCUUAUUAUUCUUAUUGUUAUUAUUAUUGUUAUCAUUAUCAUUAUCAUUAAUAAUAUUUUUUAAAAAAAUAUUAUUAUUAUUGAAGAAAAACCAUAAAUUUGAUUUCAAUAAAUAAAAAAUUAUAAAAACUUGAGUCAGACAAGUUUAAUAUUAUUAUUAAUAUUAUAAAUAUUAUUAUUUAUAUUAUAAAUAUUACUAUUGGUAUUAUAAUUAAUAUUAUAAAUAUUACUCUUGGAUAAGACGUUGCAGCCAAACUCAAGGCUCUUAGGUUUAGCUUUGCAAAUAGACUUAACGCUCUUGAAUAUUAAUGUUCUUUUAUAUUUUUUAUGGUAAAAAAAAUUAACCCGCUGUGUAGCGCAGGUCACCCACACUAGUGGAUUUCUAUAAGAGGUCAAACUCACACGCUAUUAUUUGUCCAAUAUUUUUUUGACUUUUCAACUACCUCUGAAUGGUUGAAAAGUCGUUGUAUAAAUUUUUUGAAUUUUAAAAUUUUAAUUUUGAAUUUAUAUUUACCUCAAAAACAUCCUAAAGUUUUUAAUAAAUCCAUUUCAAACUCAAAAUAAAAAAACCUAUAUAUGCAUGCCUCUAGCACAUUGUAGAGAGUAGAUAAAGAGAGGCCAUAAGAAAAUAUCAACCAAUGGAGUACCUUUUUUUUGUGCUACUAAUUUCUUUUACUUGGGCAUGUCUACACGUGCCCAUCGCAUCCAUUCUACUUCGCCGGAAGUCCGGUUGCACCGUCCUCCCACCUGGCCCUCGCCAAUUGCCGAUAAUUGGAAACAUAUUAGCCCUCGGUGACAAGCCCCACCGAACACUUGCUAACCUCUCACAAACUUAUGGACCUUUAAUGACCCUCAAGCUUGGUAGGAUAACCACAAUAGUCAUCUCCUCUCCGAAUAUUGCCAAAGAAGCAUUACAGAAACAUGACCAAGCCUUGUCCAGCAGAACAGUCCCAGAUGCUCUUCGUGUACACCACAAAAAUUCAAUGAUAUGGUUGCCUGCGUCGACUCAUUGGAAAUUUCUCAGAAAACUCACUGCCAC
rnacentral:lncRNA from 1 species